rnacentral:lncRNA from 1 species
GUACCCUCCCCGAAUGGGGAAAAUCCCCGAGGGUACCCGUCCCCGUGGGGAUUUUUGCCAUCCCUAAAUAAAUCCCAACACCCAGCCCAAUCGAAUGCCCUCCACAUUUUUAUUAAAUAACCUCCAAAAUGAUCCGUUAAUCCAAAAUAUCACUUAGUCCACCCUCCUAUACCUCAGUUUUGAAAUCUGUCCCCAAUCUGAAUCAAAAUAAACUCACUAAAAAAUCUUUGGUGGAUAUUAUGAACGACCCAUCCAACUUGACGAUUUCGAUCAAGACUGUUACUUCAUUCGAGGGAGAUAAUUUAUCUAUUAUUUUAAUGCUUCCAUAACUUAAUUUUAUGUUAAAUUAUAUUUUAUUAUCUUAAUUUUUAUAUUUUGUCAUUGUAAGAAUAUUGGGAAUAUUCAUGAGGAAAGAAGCUUAAAGAGAAAAUAAAUUGGAGUAUAAUGGAAAUAAUGUGGAAGUAAAAGGAAAAGAAAUAAAAUACCAAAUCAAGGAAGAUUGGAUUUAGGCAUCAUGCAAGCAAUCACGUGAAAAAUAAAGGAAGAGAAGAAAAGGUCAAUUGGCUUUUAAUUUCAAGCUAGUUACGUGGAGCCCAUUUGACAAUUUAAAUGGCGAUCUUAGAAUAUAUUAAAGGAAGCAAAUAUUUUGGCAUUGUUUGAAAAGGCUAUUCACGUGCAUGGGCUUAAAAGUGGCGGCCGGGCUUUUGUUCUUUUUCCUUUCCACGUGAGGAUUCAAGGUGCAACAAUAUAAAAGGAAAAGUGCAGAGCAUCAGCCGAAUAAAAAAAACUGAAGAUUGGAGAGAAAACCGAGAGAAAGAAAAGAACAAGAGAAGCUGCUGUAAAUCCGGGAGCAAGAAUUUGAAUAAGUCAAUUGCAGAGAUUGGAGAGAGAUAGCUUCUUGAGUUUUUUUUUUCCCUCUUCUCUAUUAUCUUACUUGAAUGUUCCUAAUUAAAUUAAUGGAUUCUCUUUAUAUUCCCUUGAACUAAUUUAUUUUACUAGGGCUAUGAAGAUUUAAUACCAUAAAUCUAUGUUAUUUUUAAUUUAUUAUUCCAUGAUUGAGUGUUUAUUAUUGUGCUUAAUGCUUUUAAAUAUCUGGCCAAUAUUUGAAUGAUUUGAGGAUACAUAAUGAGACUGGAAGGAGAUUUAUGUAUUUUUUACUUUGUGUAAUGGAUGCCAUGAAUUGAACGAAAGACAAAGAUGUACCAACGUGAUUCAUGCAGUUUUUCAAAGAGUUUCCAUAGAGCUUAAUGAAUCUUUGCAUAUUUAAAUUCACAUAGAGAUAUAGUGGGUUAAUAUGUGGAGGUAUUUUUUAUAUUACUCGAGAGAGGAUAUUGAAUAGAUUAGUGAAAUUCACUGCAUGUGAACAUGGAUAAUAAACUUUAAUAGCAUAGAUGGAGGAUUAAAUUGGAUUGGUUAUGGUGAAAUCGGAUGUCAAAGUGUCUUAAUCUUUUGGUGAUUUCUAUUACUGCCUACGUCUUUAUUUAAUUUUUAAUUAUUUUAUUUUAUUUUAAUCUAAAUUCGCUUAUUCGAUUGUUCAAAUAAAUUAUGGUUAAAAUAAUUUCGGUAACUAAUAGGAUAUACAAUCUAUGUGAGACGAUACUCUACUCUUCAUUAUAUUACUUGUGUCGAUUAGUACACUUGCUAAUUUACGCAUCAGAUCCUAACAUGCAAUUUUCCACUGCAGAAAUUCAAGCGAUGUCCAUUCCUUUCAAGCUAAUAUUGGUAGGUGAAUUUUCCUACAAUAGACCUAGUAUGGAAUUAAUUCGUAAAUUUUUUAAUACUUUGAGAUUGAAGGGAACUUUCAAGGUGUCCCUUUUAGAUAAUCGACAUGUGUUAAUUCAAUUGGAUGUUGAGGAGGACUACUCACGCCUAUGGGUUAGGCAAACAUGGUACAUCAGUGGGAGUGUCAUGAGAAUUGUUAAGUGGACCAUCGAUUUUUGAUGUUCUGAGGAGUCCCCUAUAGUCCUAGUUUGGAUUUCAUUUCCUUACUUGCCUGUCCAUUUCAUGCAUUGUAAGGAAACAUUAUUUUCUAUUGCAUCAGCUAUUGGUAAACUAUUGCAAUUGACUAAGCUACUGCCUCUUUAGCUCGCCCUUAUGUAGCUAGGGUGCUAGUGGAGUAUGAUGUCACUCAACCUCCGUUGCAACAUAUACGAAUCGAUGUGGGAGAUUCUAGGUUUUGGCAGAGUGUAAUUUUUGAGAAAAUCUCAAUAUAUUGUGCUUCCUGCAAGCACCUUGGCCAUUCCAUUGAGACGUGUUACGUGGCCAAUCUGGGACUCCGUCCUUAGCGGCCUAAUGGGAAUUGGCAAACUAGAAUAGAUAAUAAGAAGUCAGAAGUUCUGCUGUCAGAUACUCAUCAACCCUUGGACACUCCACGACCUGAGUCGUCCAUCACUAAACAGAUUGCAGAUGCGUGGUCUCUAAUUGUUCCGACGGAGAGCCGAGCUAACGCUACAGACUCUACUUCUAUUCAGGAGCCGAUUGGCCAGGAUGUCACGACUCAUAAUUCUAGGAUCCAAGAACCAGGUGAGUAUAAUACACAUCUUCAUCGAGCAUCCAACACAGAUUUUAGGCUUUACAAUUCUCAUACUGAUAAUGAUGAUAUUUUUGACGAUCACUUGGUGAAUAAUGACCAUUUCCUACCUGUUCCUGAGAAUUCUGAGAGAGUUGACUCUAGCCCUGAUUUUAUUGUUGUCGGUCAUUCAAAAAAAAGCAUUAAAUUAUUUGCCGGCCGCAAGUAUCGUAAGAGAUAUUAUCACCGUCUGCAUUAGUCUUUUUCUUCUUAUGUUAGGCUAUGCCAAGAAAUUAUUAUUAUUUUUAUUUCUCUUGAUUGAAGGUUUUAGUUUAUGUCCCCCCUCCAAAUAUAUUUUCUUUAUAUGUUCUAAAUGAUAGGUAGGGGUCCCGCCUAACCCCCCAUAGAUUGAAAAAAAAAAUUUCUUAGUGUUGUACAGUUUAAAGACCUUCAAUCCCUUUUAGUUAUUUCUUUUGUGGGUCUUCCUACUAUGCACCGAGUGUAUGCAUGGUUCACUGUGACAUGACAUAAAGCUAAUUAAAUUCUGACAUGUGUGCAAUAAGCAUUGCAAAGUAACCGGUUAUUCUGGUUGAAUUCACAACUGCCCUUGUAUGUGUGUCUGUGAUCCAAGUUGCGUACACCAUGUCACAAGUUCUCUAUUUACGCUCUUAUUAUCACAACUGUUGCUCAAUAAUGUCACGAGUAAUAUAUUGUGUUCACAAGUACUGUAAUUGCGUUUUUAUUGUCUCAAGUGGUGAACACUGAGUUGCAAGUUUUGUAAGAAACGUUCCCAAUAAAAUAAAAUAUUUAAUUGAUUCAAUUAGGAUAAAAUUAUUUUGUGAAAGAAAUUAAAUUUUAAUUUUGAAUGAUUUUGACCAAAAUUUAAGUUAUUUCAUGUGUUUAAGAAAAUGAAUUGUAAUUGUUUUAAUUAAUUGGAAAUAAUGAAUAAAUUAUGCAACAACAACAAAAAGCUAAACAAUUAGUUUUGGAUAGAUUCAAAUAUCUCCCUCGACCAAACUGCAAAAAAUUAUCAAAAAUUACUAAAUCAUUUAUUUUUUAACUUAAAAAAUCCGAAACUUGUAUUUUUAUAUUUGUGCCCUUACAAAUCAUAAAUGUUAAAACCUAAAUAAGAUUAUAUAUUAUCAUAACCUAAAUUAUGUUCAAUAGAAUACAACACUUUAAUAUUAUAAAUUAGUAUAUGUUAAUUAAUUUUAUUGUAGUUUAUGAUGUUUUAAUAUAAAAGAUAUUCAUAAAAAUUAUGAAGAUAAAUAUUUUUAAUUUAAAAAAUGAAAAGAUAAAAAUAAUAAUUGUUCAGAAAUAUAUUAUCACAAGUUAUAAAGAUGGAUAAUAAUGUUAAUUAUUAAAUUUUAUUUAGGUAAAGAUAAAAAUUAAUUAAUUAGAUAUGGAUAUUUUGGAGAAUAUCUUUUAAUGAUAUUCGCUAAAAAAAUUAUUUGUACUCACUGGCAACAUAAGAGCACAACAACAUCCGGGGAUGUUAGGACAUUAGGUUUUCUUAUUGCAAUCAUAAUUAAAUGAUUGUAAACAAUUCUUCUAGUAACUGAAAGAAAUAGGAGGAAUUCACUUUCCUGAGCGAAAUUUUGCCAAGCUCUCUGUUUACUUGGAUUCCAUAUAAGGUCCUCUGUGUAGGGUCCAUCUCACUUCGGUGGACCAAAAUGUCUAAAGUCCAAAAUAAUUUGCUUGAUGUGUAACACUUUGGAAGAUUAUUGGCCAAAUUAGCUAGAGCAGAAUGUUCUCUUAUGUCUGAUUAUGUUGUUUGUAAUUUUUUAUCUUCUCUCGGAGUGCAAAAGAGACAGUUGCUGAAGUAGUCCAAAAUGGGUAGUUUGUAGCAUUUUCAGUCUUUAUGGGGCAAAGUUCAUCUUGAAAUUUGUAGUGUCCUAACUUGAACUAUCAUCAUGGAGAAAAUAUUUGUGAUGAUAGUUGGGCCCAAAGAAAAAUUAAAAAGAUUGGAGUGGAUUAACCCACUAAUUUCAUCUCUUUCAACCCUAAUUAUCCACAAUUUGUGCUCACUGGCAACAUCAGAGCACAGCAGCAUCCGAGGAUGUUAAGACACUAGGUUUUCUUAUUGUAAUCAUGAUAAAUGAUUGUAAUUAAAUUAUAAUUAGGAUUAUGAUUGUGUUGAGUUGUUUACAAUAUAUUUUUGAAGAAACAAAAUAAAAUUAAUUCUAUUUUUUUCCCAAUGAAUUCUUACUCAAUUCCUAAAUUCUCUAAUCAUAUCCUAUAAGCCUAUCAAACUACCGCAGCAAUCCGCCAUUUAUCGCCGUCAAAUCGCCCAUUGAUACCAUGUAAACCGAGUCCGAGCCUCUUAAGGUGCUGGAGGAAGUAGAAUCCUAUAAGCUGGGAUGAUUAUUUAAAUGGUACAGGAAGGACUGCUGCUUCCCUAUGUCAAUAAGGAUACAUGACUGAACCAUCGCCAUAUUGACUUACGAACAGCUGCUAACUAGGGGAUUUUCAGUACUGAGAGUCAAGUUAAGAGUGUAAAUUUUUGCUUCAUUGGUCAUGGAUACUUAUAUUAUCAUUUACGCAGCUUAUUCUCAGGAGGUUUGUGCUCGCCCAUUUUUUAAGAGAGAAAAUAAAUAAGAACUAAAGUUAUUGACAUAGAACUAACAACAAAUUUGAAACUUGGCACAACAAGAAAUUUGAACUAACAACAUACUCUGUUCAAUAAGGUCCCAGCAAACGGCAAUGAACACAUAGAAAUCAGACAGUAAAAGAAACAUAAAUCAUUCCUAUAGUAAAAGAAACAUAAAUCAUUCCUACAGCCCAAAGAAGUUCAUUCCUGUUGAUAAACUUGAGGUGCAAAUAUCUCGUUACUUCAAGGAUGAGAUUUUUCACCACUAGUAUGAGAUUCUUCAUCACUAGAUGAAUAAUUAAUCUCACAAGCAGUCUCAUCAUAUAUGUGAGCUUGAAAAGUUGAAUUGCUCUCAUAUUCGAAAAGCACUAAAGAACCAACAGAGAUUGAAUAAGCCUCUACAAAGUCCUGCCGGCCAUCAUCAAACCGAACAUUUUCUCCAUUCUUUGUUCAACUUCACUUGCCAAACAUAGCCAUUACGAACUGUAAUGUGCGCCACAACAGACAGUUCAUGACUGAUCUUCCUCACAAUUUUGUUUGGAAUUCUCUACAUUUAAGCAAAUAAAGUCAGAGAGUCAUAUAUUCGAAGACAAGUGAAAAUCAACCAAUAAUAACAACAACAAUAAUACUACUAAAUCAAUUUUUCGUGCUAUUGCUGUCAUAAAUUGCAGCACACUUCAAUUCUCGCAGACUAAAAUUCAAGCUCGCAAGUAAAAAGAUUUAGCACAGGAUAAUCAUAACUUCACCACAUUAAACAAUAAUAUAAAGAAAUAGAAACUAAUGGAACUGUUGAUUCUAAAACCAGCAAGCGGCUGAUCUUUAGCCCCUAGACCCAAUCUUGAAGCAAUUAAUCCUUAAAUCCCUAAUUAAGCGAAACUAGAGAUUAUAAUCUAGACCACAAACGAUAUGACUCAAUAAAGAAGAAGCAUGAGCAAAUUGGAAAUGUAAAGCACACAAAAAAGAAUUAAGUGGUUUGGCAUUGUAAGCCUACAUCCACUUUGAAACGAAUGAAGCAAGAUUUCACUAACUCCCUUAAAGUUCAAAAUACAACCAGAGGACUACCUCAUGAACCCCCUUCUGCACACCCCUUGUACAUCAAGAGAAAAGAAUCACAGAAGGAAAAAAAAAAACUGAAGCAAGCAUUAUAAUUAUGAGUUUGUUAGAGCCCAGAAUGAUUAAGUAAAGAAAAUUUUGUUAUCAGAUAAAAUCUCAUUUCUACAUAAAACCAUACAAUUUGCGAAGAAAUGAAGGUUUAUCAAGAAAUGAAGUAUACCAACUUCUGGUCUCGGAGGAUAGACGGAAGCACGGCUUUAACAAAUCUUGGAGGAAUCUCCAGCAAAGAAAGCGAAAUGGGCUGAGAAGGCAUUUAUUCUUCCGUUAGUUAUCUGAGCUAUAAGAGCAAAGCUUCGUUCCAAGUUAUAUAAACUUGAGAUUUUCUUCUUUUUGAAAAGAAGAGUUAACACAAUUAACUAUCAACACUUUUCUAUUUCGUCUACCCUACCUUUCGUAUGAUAUUUUAUCUACCGCUGCGCCAUAUUUCCCUUUUUCGUUAAGGAAGAGUUAACACAAUCAACUAUCAGCACUUUUCCAUUUCGUCUACCCUACCUUUUGUCUGAUAUUUUCUCUAUUGUGGCGCCAUAUUUCCUUUUUUCAUUCUUUAAACUUUAAAGCUUUGCUUUUUUUAGGGUCUUGUUACUAUGCACCCCGUAUAUGCAUGGUUUACUGUGACAUGAUAUAAAGCCAAUUAAAUUCUGACACAUGUGCAAUAGCAGCUGUGAAUUCUACUGGUCCUUCUUUGUACAAAAAAGGUUUAUAAGUGUCUUGAAUAUUAAAAUAAAAACUUAGAUAUCAUAUUUUAUAAAAGUCCUUACUCAUAGUCAAAAGUUAUUAGUUCAAGAGUUACAUGAUCCAAGUUAAUUUCGUUCAAAUAAAAGCUGCAACUUUGUGUUAAUUUUUCUAUUUAAAUUAUAUCCUAAAAAUAUAGACUCACUUCAAGCUUUAUUACACUCAAACAACUUCUGCAUCUUUCUUAGAUAACAUGAUGGAAAUGAUGUUCCAUUUAAAAGUGCAGUUUUAUUAUCAUCAGACUACUCGUAUUUUAUUGUUAUUUUCAUUGUCGAUAUUUUCAAGUUUCUAUUAAUUUGAUGGAGAAAUAUUGUCUUAUAAUAAGUUGCUCUUUUAUGAGAUGAACACGAACGGUAAAGUAUUAGAAAAGAAAAUUUGUUGAAGGAAACCUGGAGUAAACUUCAUUUUUAGUAGAAGAGGAUGUGAUUAAUUUGUUUGCACUUUACGGUGGACUAGAGUUAAUAAGAGUGAAUGGUCAUAUUACUGCAGGCAUAAAUAGCUUUACCACUGGUUGAAGGCUAUACUAGGUUGUUUUCUUAACAAUGAUAAUCACAAUCAUAACACUUGUGUUCAAGAAUUUCUUGAUUAGUUUUCAUUUUUAUACUUAUUACAAACCCUAUUACUUAAUGGAUGAAAAUAUAACAUGAUUGGAAAUAUGAGGACAAGAUCAACAUAUUUGAUUCUUUCGGCUGGCCCUCCAACACAGAGAGAUUCAUCUUAUAAAAUGGAUCUUCCUUCUGAAUAAUUAGAGUUUGUUCACCAGAAAAGACUGGCUUUAGACAAUCUCAUAGAUGGUCCAACAAGUAUUCAUCCGAUUAUUCAAAUUCUUUUACUCUUGUUGAUAGACAUACAAGAAUGACUGUAUGAGAAUUGAUAAUGAGAAUCAAAGUCAGUUAAUACACACAUAUACAUCAAUUACAAGAAUCACAACAUAAUUGAACUGAACACUAAACGUUGAGAGUGAAGUUAUGUUUUGGGAUAAUUCGUGAAGUAAUAAUUCUUCUAGCAACAGAAAGAAAUAGGAGGAACUCACUUUCCUGGGCGAAAUUCUGCCAAGCUCUCUUCUUACUUGGAUUCCAUAUAAGGUCCUCUGUGUAGGGUUCAUCUCACUUCGGUGGACCAAAAUGUCUAAAGUCUAAAAUAAUUUGCUUGAUGUGUAACACUCUGGAAGAUUAUUAGCCAAAUUAGCUAGAGCAGAAUGUUCUCUUAUAUCCAAUUGUGUUGUUUGUAAUUUUUUAUCUUCUCUCGAAAUGCAAAAGAGAGAGUUGUUGAAGUAGUCCAAAAUGGGUAGUUUGUAGCAUUUAUAGUCUUUAUGGGGCAAAAUUCAUCUUGAAAUUUGUAGUGUCCUAACCUGAACUAUCAUCAUGGAGAAAGGAUUUGUGAUGAUAGUUGGGCCCAGAGAAAAAUUAAAAAGAUUGGAGUGGAUUAACCCACUAAUUUCAUCACUUUAAACCUUAGUUAUCCACAAUUUGUACUCACUGGCAACAUCAGAGCACAGCAGCAUCCGAGGAUGUUAAGACACUAGGUUUUCUUAUUGCAAUCAUGAUAAAUUAUUGUAAUUAAAUUAUAAUUAGGAUUAUGAUUGUGUUGAGUUGUUUAUAAUAUAUUUUUGAAGAAACAAAAUAAAAUUAAUUCUAAUUUUUUCCUAAUCAAUUCUUGCUCAACUCCUAAAUUCUCUAAUCAUAUCCUAUAAGCCUAUCAGACUACCGCAGCAAUCCGCCAUUUAUCACCGUCAAAUCGCCCAUUGAUACCAUGUAGACCGAGUCCGAGCCUCUUAAGGUGCUGGAGGAAGUAGAAUCCUAUAAGCUGGGAUGAUUAUUUAAAUGGUGCAGGAAGGACUGCUGCUUCCCUGUGUCAAUCAGGAUACAUGACUGAACCAUCGUCAUAUUGACUUACGAACAGCUACUAACCAGGGAAUUUUCAGUAUUGAGAGUCAAGUUAGGAGUGUAAAUUUUUGCUUCCUUGGUCAUGGAUACUUAUAUUAUCAUUUACGCAGCUUAUUCUCAGGAGGUUUGUGCUCGCCCAUUUUUUAGAGAGAAAAUAAAUAAGAACUAAAGCUAUUAACAUAGAACUAACAACAAAUUUGAAACUUGGCACAACAAGAAAUUUGAACUAACAACAUACUCUAUUCAAUAAGGUCCCAGCAAACGGCAAUGAACACAUAGAAAUCAGACAGUAAAAGAAACAUAAAUCAUUCCUACAGUAAAAGAAACAUAAAUCAUUCCUACAGCCCAAAGAAGUUCAUUCCCGUUGAUAAGCUUGAGGUGCAAAUAUCUCAUUGCUUCAAGGAUGAAAUUCUUCACCACUAGUAUGAGAUUCUUUAUCACUAGAUGGAUAAUUAAUCUCCCAAGCAGUCUCAUCAUAUAUGUGAGCUUGAAAAGUUGAAUUACUCUCAUAUUCGAAAAGCACUAAAGAACCAACAGAGAUUGAAUAAGCCUCUACAAAGUCCUGCCAGCCAUCAUCAAACCGAACAUUUCUCCCUUCUUUGUUCAACUUCACUUGCCAAACAUAGCCAUUAGGAACUAUAAUGUGCACCACAUCAGACAGUUCAUGACUGAUCUUCCUCACAAUUUUAUUUAGAAUUCUCUACAUUUAAGCAAAUAAAGUCAGAGAGUCAUGUAUUCGAAGACAAGUGAAAAUCAACCAAUAAUAACAACAACAAUAUUAAUACUAAAUCAAUUUUUUCAUGCUAUUGAUCUCAGAAAUUGUAGCACACUUCAAUUCUCGCAGACUAAAAUUCAAGCUCGCAAGUAAAAAGAUUUAGCAUAGGAUAAUCAUAAUUUCACCACAUUAAACAAUAAUAUAAAGAAAUAGAAACUAAUGGUGUUGUUGAUUCUCAAACCAGCAUGCAGCUGAUCUUUAGCCCCUAGACCCAAUCUUGAAGCAAUUAAUCAUCAAAUCCCUAAUUAAGCGAAACUAGAGAUUAUAAUCCAUACCACAAAUGAUCUAACUCAAUAAAGAAGAAGCAUGAGCAAAUUGGAAAUGUAAAGCACACAAAAAAGAAUUAAGUGGUUUGGCAUUGUAAGCCUACAUCCACUUUGAAACGAAUGAAGCAAGAUUUCACUAACUCCCUUAAAGUUCAAAAUACAACCAGAGGACUACCUCAUGAAUCCCUUUCUGCAUACCCCUUGUACAUCAAGAGAAAAGAAUCACAGAAGGAAAAAAAAAAAUGAAGCAAGCAUUAUAAUUCUAAGUUUGUUAAAGCCCAUAAUGAUUAAGUAAAGAAAAUUUUGUUAUUAGAUAAAAUCUCAUUGCUACAGAGGACCAUACAAUUUGUGAAAAAAUGAAGGGUUAUCAAGAAAUGAAUUAUACCAGCUUCUGGUCUCGGAGCGUCGACAGAAGCCUGGCUUUAACGAAUCUUGGAGGAAUCUCCGGCAAAGAAGGCAAAAUGGGCUGAGAAGGAAUUGAUUCUUCCGUUAGUUAUCUGAGCUAUAAGAGCAAAGCUUCGUUCCAAGUUAUAUAAGCCUUGGAUUUUCUUCUUUUUAAAAGGAAGAGUUAACGCAAUUAACUAUCAGCACUUUUCCAUUUCGUCUACCUUGCCUUUCGUAUGAUAUUUUAUCUACCAUCGCACCAUAUUUCUUUUUUUCGUUAAGGAAUAGUUAACACAAUUAACUGUCAGCACUUUUCCAUUUCGUCUACCCUGCCUUUCGUCUGAUAUUUUCUCUACUGCCGCUAUAUUUCCUUUUUUCGUUCUUUAAACUUUAAAGCUUUGCUUUUUUUAGAGUCUUCCUACUAUGCACCCGGUGUAUGCAUGGUUUACUGUGACAUGACAUAAAGCCAAUUAAAUUCUGACACGUGUACAAUAGCAACUGUGAAUUCUACUGGUCAUUCUUUGUACAAACAAGGUUUAUAAGUGUCUUGAAUAUUAAAAUAAAAACUUAGAUAUCAUAUUUUAUAGUUGUAUUAGUAAGAUUACAAGUUGAAUUAUUGAAAACUAAAAGCAUGGAUCGAGGAACAUAGUUGAGACUACAAGAAUUAAAGACACAAUCACCCUUUAAUAGUAACUGAUACAAUCUACCUUCAGCAAUCCCUUGAGCCAGAUGCCUUUUUUUCUUCUUGUCCUUUAUGAAACACAUAUUGGCAACAAACUUAAUGGUUAUAUUAUUAUCUUGAAGCAAUUUGGAAAUGCAAAUAAGAAUUUUAGUCAGAUGAGGUACACACAAAACAUCUUUUAAGUGUAGAACCGUAUUGCAGGAUGUAUUAAGACAAGUGUAGCCAAUACAUGAAAUAUGUAAUCCUUGACCAUUACCAAUAUGUAAGAGUUGAUUACCUGAAUAUUCUCCUCCAAUAUUCAAAUUCUAUAGAUUGUUGGUGAGAUUAUGUGUAGUGCUACUAUCAAUAUACCACCCUUGAUCAACCAUUGUUCUCUCUAAAGUUGUAAGAUAACUAGCCCUUGAUGAACUAUGAUAUGGAUUAUAAGAAGGAACAUAGUCUAUGUUGUAUCUGUUUCUACAUUCAGCUGAAGUGUGUUUUGGCUUAAAGCAAAUUUGACAAAUCGCAGCAGUAAUGGUUGGAUUCAAAACUCUUUUGCCAUUAAUAAAAGCUUUAUUCUGGCUAAAAUUUCUGAUGUUGUUACCACCAUAACCACCUCUACCUAAGCUUGGUGGAUAAUUUCCAACAGCCACACCAUUCCAAGCACCAUUCCAGUUACCUAUUCCUUAACUAUGUGCAAAAUUUCUACGAAAACCACUUCUGCCUCUAGCAUAACCACCUCUAAAACUAGCAAUCUUGUUCUAAUUAUUAUUAGAUUGAUCUUCAGUCCAAUUGUUAUUAAACUGACCUCUAGAUUUCUUAUUAUUAGGUCCAAUUUGAGCAAUAUUAGUAGCAUAGUUCAACUUGGCUUCCUUGCCAGCACUAAAUUGAUUAGCCUAUAAUCUAGUUUUGUAAAUUAAUAACAUGGAAUAGGCUUCAUUGACAGUGAUUUUAGCCAGAUUUGCUUCAAUAUAGACAACAACUGGAUAAUAAGCUUGAUAUAAUCCUAAGAUCAGAUGAGUAAGGAAGUCCAAAGAACUAAUAGGAUUACCUGUAAUAGCUAGCUCAUCAUAUUGUCUUUAAUUUUCUAAAAAGUUCAGUCAUAAACAUGGAGCCUAUUUUUAGAGUAUUGAGCAUCAUCUUCAAAUGAAUUUUCUUAACAAAGGUUUUAGAUCCAAAUUGUUUCAAGAGAGGUUUUAGAAUUCACCACAAGACUAAGAAUCUCGAGACUGAUGGAUGACAUUAGCCAGUUUAGCAACAAUUGAUCCUUUCUCUUCCAUGAGGUGAGUGAUGGAUUAAUCUAUGAUUCAGUAGUUGAGUUUUCAAUUUCACUAGAAAGAAACUGAUCUGGACAAAGUGUUGAUCCAUCAAAUAGGCCUUCAAGUCCAUUAGCAAGAACUAAAGAUGAGAUAUGAUAUUGUAUAAUUCAACUGAUCCAGUUCGAUUAGUGAAGUAAAUGUAAAUGAGGAAACAUAGGAGUUUGUAGUUGUAUUUGAGCUUAAAGAAACCAUAAGGAUUGGCAGUUCAAGCUCUAAUACUAAGUUAAAGUUUCUAAAUGUGUUUGGUAAAUAAGAAAAUGAGAGAAAAUGCGAGAAAAUAAAGGAAAGAACAGAGAGCAACUAAGAGCUGAAUUUUAUGAAUGAAACAGAAUCUAUACUGAUCACAAGUGUAUAUAUACAAGAUUUUUAAACAUUCCAAAUUCAGUAUGCAUGAGUAAAGUAUCCGUGAGCUAAGCAACAUGCACUAACAAACCACUAACAAUACAACUAACUUAUGCUAGCUCAAUUGAUAUGUCAGUAACUCUAAUUAACUGGCUUAACAAAAUGAAAUAAUAACUAAUCAUUUUAACUAUCUCAACAAUUACAAUGAAUCUUAAUAUGGAUUCAUCACCCGCUGAAUUAUAUAUUUAAAAAGUUAAUGGGUUUUAUGUGAAGACCCAUCUCUCUACCAUGGUUAAUGCUAAAUACCUACAUGUCUGGGAUACAAGGAUUACUAUUGAAUUAAUGAUGCGUUUACUUUUUGGAUUGGAUUGAGAAUCCUGAGGAGUGGGAAUCCUGGGAUUAGGAGUGUGGAGUGGGAGUGGGAGUAGAGUGUUUACUUAGACUAAAUGAAAGUAUGGAUUGUCAAUCAGAAUCCCAAUUAUUUGUUUACUUUGUCUUGGAUUGGGAGUAAAUUAUUUUAAAUUACAAUUUUAUCCUUAUGUAAAGAAUUUGUAGUUUUUUUUAAAAAAUGAAUAAAAAAAUAUUUGUACAAUAACCUAUUUAUUUUAUCAUUAAUUUUAAUUAUAUAAAAUACUAAUUAUUUUUAAUGACGUAAAAUAAAUUUUUUUAUGAAUUUUAUUUUAAUUUUAAAACUAAAAUUUAUUGGUAAUAUUUAUCUGUAUAAACAAAAGACAAUUUAAAAUGUUAGAUUAUACUAUUACAUUGUGCCAUCGUCAAGAAAAUUAUUUUUCACAACUUUAAUUUUUCCAUCCUGUUAUUUUUUAUUUAUUUAUUUUUUCAAAUUUUAUGUGCAUACACAACUUGUUCUAAAUAUGAACAUAUCAAGGCAUAGGGCAGCCAUCAGUUUUGAUGCCUGGAGCUAUAGGCCAUUUUGGCAAACAACCUUUCUAUCUUUUCCAGUGGCUUUCCAGUAGCUAGUUUUGGUGGCUCUAUUUGUUCUCGAGCCAUUCGGGUAAUUUCGAUCCCUAGGACAGAAGAAGAACCAUUCCAUAUCUCGUUUUGGAAGGAAUGAUUUCUCUGCAAAUUUACAUUUUGUUGAAUUCUCAAAUCAAUAAGAUUAAGGUAAACAGAAUGACCGAAUAUAAAACAGCUACUCACUGCUUUUUUUCUCAUUAUUGUACAUGAAAACUUAAAUCCCAUAAAAUUGGCUUUUAGUACAAAAAGUUAAGGCCCCAUGUGAAGAAAGAUUCUAACAGGAAUCAAAUAAAUAAAACAAACGAAAAAGUGCUUUACAAAGCUAAAAACAAUUCCUUGUUCACAUUAACUUUCAACUGUCUUUGAUCACUAAAGCUAAUUCAUGUUUUUCAUGGCAAUUAGACAAAUACAAACAUUACACGAUUAAAAUCUGAGGUACUUGGUAACUCCCAAGGAUCAAAUUUGUACAAUUAGACCACAUGAAUACACAACUUGUUCUAAAUAUGAACAAAUCAAGGCAUAGGGCAGCCAUCAGUUUUGAUGCCUGGAGCUAUAAGCCAUUUUGCCAAUAGGUAAUACUUGGUAGAAUGAAGUCCCCACCACUAUGGUCCAAAAAUAUCAUUAGACUGCAGCAUAAAGUAAAUCAAUAUAGCCAUGAAAACAAAAUUAAAUAUUGUUCAUUAGUUCGAUAUAGUUUCGAACCCCAAAAUAUAUUACAUAGCACCUCAAGUCCAAGGUUCCAAAAUAAUAUUAUAUAAGAACACAUCUCUAAAGUUCCAAAAUAGUGUGUUCAUUUGACAAAACACAAUCCAAAUUUCCAAACUAAUACAAGGACUGCAUCUCACAAACCACGACCAAUCUUUCGAAGGAUAUACCCCUUUUUCAGCUCAUUGGGCAAGUUGAAGAACACACGUAGCUUAUCAUGUUUGGUUGCCAAAAUAUCAAUCGCAUCUAAUAUUUCUUGCUCGCCUAAGCCUUCAAUCUUACAUAUUUCACCAUACAACUUAGCUUGUAAAUCAAAUAAUUCUUUGUCAGCAGUAGAAAGUACGCUAAUCAACCCAUCAAGCUUGGGUACAAUGGCUGAAAUGGACUCUGCCAUUGCCCCCAUAUUUGAAGACAUAUUUUCAAAUGUCUUGUCCUUGGUUCUUCUUUUCUUCUUGGGAUGGCUGGAAUUACUUGGAAUGCUUUCAUUUUCAUUAGCAUGUGCAUGUGAUUGUGGAGUGUGUGACAUAUCAUCAAGAAUAUUCUCCAUAAAAGUCUCAUGAGUGGAAUCAUUUCCUAAGGUGAAAUUAAAAUUGUCUUCAUGACGUACCUCUUCUUCGUCAUCAUCAGCAUUGCCGGCAUUUGCUCCAUUAGCUCUAUCACGACCAAAGAUCUCACUCAAUGUGUAAUAAUGGGGAAAUGGUUUGAGAAAUAACCCACUUGCAUCCUUUCUUUUCUGUUGGGGGAAUAACAAAACAAAGAAACAUGAACAGCACAACAACAUAAACAGGACAACAAAUGAUUGAUUAAUGUUAAACAAUCAGUGCCCUUUAAUCUUAAACGAACAUAAACAGCAAAUAUUUAACAAAGAAACAAGAUCAACACAUCAAAAGAAUGAAGCCUAGAAAUAAUAAUGGAACAAAGAAACAUGAACAGCCCAUCAACAUAAACAGCCCAGAAACGGAGUCAAAAACAGAGCACGAACAUCCAAAACAGCCCAAAUGAAAUAAAUCAGAUAGAUAAAGGACAUUAUAAACUUCAAAACCAAUUAUGAUCUACUCCCUAACUCUCAAUAGAAAGAAUAAAGUUAGGUAUUUUACCUUCACAUACUCAUCGUAAACACUUUUAUCACAUACGAUCAUCGACUUCUCUGAAUCCCAACCAAACCCACUUAGAGCUAACAUGUCUGCCACAGCAUUAUGUUUUAGCUUGAAAUACUUCACUCUAGAUUCAGUAUGGGGAGAUGCUUUCAAUCCAAACAUUUUUGAAAAUUUUUUUCCAACCUUUUUUUAAUUUUUAAAUAUCCAGUUUUGAACCCACAAUCUACCCGCACAUUGGAUUUUGACUCAAUUCAUACAAUGAAUCUACCAAUGCAUCAUCUUGGGCUGUUGUCCAGUAAUGCUUCGACAGCCACGACCUCUUUGACUCAUUCUAUUUACAAUAAAAUAAAUUUGUUAUAAAAAAAAAGUAUAACGUCAACUACACUUGAUUGUAUAGUUAAAUGCAACAUAUAAAAUGAAAAUAAAUGGCAAAAAUAAUUCAUCAUAAAAAAUAAUAAUAAAUUGCAUAAACAGCAAAUAUAAAAUAAUACAUUGUCAAUUAAAACAAUCACAUUAUUAUUGAAGGAACACACCAAACAAAUACAUUGUUAAAUACCAUUACAAGUGAUUUAACAAACUACAAUGAUAAUAAACGAAUGUCCUCAUGCAUUCCUCAUGUUCCACAUCUCUUGAGCUAAAUUAUCUCUCCAAGCAGACCACUCAUUUGAAGUGUCAAUUGACUCAAUGAAUUGUGCUUCGUCAACAUUGUCCCCUAUGUCAUCAUCUAUUUCUUCUUCCAUAACAUCGAUAGACAUUUCCGUUCUUAUGAAAUUGUGCAACAUAUAACAAACGGAUAUUAUACGACGUUGUGUUAUAAUAUCAUAAAAAGCGGGACUUCUAAGUACAGCCCAUCUCUUCUUUAAUAUCCCGAAACAUCGCUCAAUCACAUUGCGAGCACUAGAGUGUUUCAUAUUAAAAAACUCUUUUGGUGUAUGAGGUUGGUGUCCAUCACGAAAGUCGCUCAAAUGAUAACGUUCCCCUCUAUAUGGUGAAAGAAAACUCAUCCCAUUGGUAUAGCCAGCAUCAACCAAGUAAUAAUAACCUAUAAAAAUAAUAAGAUAACGUUGUAUGAAAAAAAAUCAUUCGCCAAGUAAUAUACUCUCACAAGCUAAAGAAAAAUUUGGUUAAAUUUAUUACCAUGAGGGACUUUUAACCCAUUUCUUCUAGUUAAGGCAUCUUUUAGCACGCUCAUAUCAUGAGUUGAACCUUCCCAACCCGGUAAGACAUAUAUAAAUUGCAUAUUUUGUGAACAAACUCCCAAAACAUUUGUUGCAAUCUCAUUUUUUCUAGUUCUAUAUCUUGGUUUAUCGGCCUCCGAAACAUGAACUUUUAUAUAAGUACCAUCUAAAGCUCCUAAGCAAUUCUACAAUAAACCAUUAAAAAAAAUUAAUGAGUCAAUGUACAAAGUGUAUUAGAGAAGACACAAAUGAAACAAAAUAUUAUACUUACCGUAAACCACUUCCAUUUUGGGUCCGUUGAGUUGUCUGUAAUUGGCUCAGGUUUCUUCCAAAAUUCCUUUUGACAUCUAAUCAUUGCCCUUAAACACUCAUGAAAACAUUUACUAACUGUUCUUCCGGAUCUCUUAAAGUUAAAACCGACAACCCGAUUUUUGACAUGAUGUGCUAAGAUUGACAAAAACAUUGCAACCAUUUCCUCUGGAGACACCCUUUUACUUCUAACCAAACUCCCUUUCUCACAAAGAAGCUUACAUAAUUUGAAAAAUGCUUGUCUAUCCAUUCUUAAUUGUGACAAACAUUUUAUAUCACUUUCAAACACCAAGCCAUGCAAAUGUGACAGUUGUUGGUAAACUCUAUAAGCUGAAUUUGGAUUUUCCAACCUUUGUUCACAAGAUAAGUAAACAUAGGAAUACAUAGCAGCACACACAGCCAUAAUCAUUUGCAACAUGACAACUAGUUCUUGUAUAAUUACCAAGAUUUUCUGCUUUCUUGCUAACAACCGUGACAUCCUAUCGCUUAACAAAAAAGAAAACUCGAUAAAUAAAAUGGGCUGGAAAAUUAAUUUUUAUUUCUUUAUGAUGGAACCUCAACUAAAUGAGCUGGAAAAUAUAUUAACUAAUCCAUCAGUUAUAUAAAAUAAGCCAAAACCAACAAGAGGAAAUUGAUCAAAUCGAACAGCAGCAAAAACAAUCUCUUUCAUUCUCUUUCAAUUACUUUUCUGUUAAAACACAGACAAAAAUAGCUAAUGCUUGGAUGCCAGAGGCAUAAAAAAGGUCAAAAUUUUGCUAAAAUAAUAAUAAGUCUAAUUAUUUUUCAACUUGUCAUUGAUCAAGUGUUUUCUCAAUAGUCACAGCAAGAGGAAAUGAUAGCUUAAAUAAGAGAACAAGAAUAAAGUAGACUAUGUAAUUAUCAUGCCUUAUCUUUCCCAGCAUCAUUAUAUUAGUCAAACAUGUGGAGUCAAUAACUAAUCAUUAUGUCCAAAUAAGAACUGCAAAAAGUUUACAUUCCAAUAUAAAUAUAAACUAAUUAUAUUGCAAAAAGUUUACACUUGUUGAGUUCCCUUCGAAUAUGUUUACAUAUUGUAACCAUAAAUAGUUGUAAAUUAUGGACCCUAAUCUUACACAUGGCAAAAUCUUAAAUUGGCAUGCAUUAGACUAAUUAUGGAUCUGCAUGUACACGAUCACUGCUCUCUUGAAAAUGGGAGAAAAAAACCAAAUCCAUGCAUUAAAUUUUCACAACCCAGAAUAGAGAAAUUUUAAACAAAAAAAAAGAGCUUCCACAUGACCACUGAACUGGCACCACAUCUUGUCUCUAUACGCAGUAAGAGCAAAAGCAGAGAAAAAGCACUUUCAACACACAAAAGAACUUCCUCUUUUAUUUUCACUUUUUGACCAAAAAAAAUAAGCAAAUCGGUUCGAGCAACACAUGUAACACAGAGAUAAAUUAAUGACAGAUCGUUGCAUGUAUGACUCAACAAAAACUAGAUCAGCGGCAUGAAUGUUAUUAGAAAACAUUACCUUGGAUGAUUCGAAAUCGACAAAAGAGAAUUUUUAGCAGCGUGGGUAGUGAUUCCAAAGCCGUGAUUGAGGCUAGUUCAUGUAUUCUCUUUUCGCCGGCACCGGUGACCUUUUCCAAGUGAAGAAAUCGAGCAAUGAUUUUGGGAUUUCACGAGUUAGAUUUUGGGAUUUCACUGGUUAGGGUUUGAUGAACUUGAAAUUCGUUACCAUUCAGUCUUUUUUAUAUAUGGUACAAUUGUAAAUUUUGAUAUUGUUUAAGGGCGUUUUUGGUAUCAAAAGAGUGGGAGUGGGACUCCCACCUCUCCCCACGGGAGUGGGAAUCCCACUCCCCCUUCAAAACUUGCAAGUAAAUGCUGGAGUGGGAGAAAUCCACACUCCAACAAGUAAACACUACAUAAAUUGAGUGAAUCCAACCGCUCGUAUUCAUUUUAUUAUUAAAUAAUAAAAAAUUUUAAGGAAAUUGCAAACCUGUGAAACCGGUCGUACUUUUGGUUUAGGUUAAAAAUAUAUUAAAAAAAAAAACCCACACUCCCUCACCUCACACACACGCCUCACCACUCCCUCACCUCACCCGUCCUCUUCCUGUUCCACGGCCAUCAAUGGCGGUGCGAGUCGACAACAAUCAACUGCGGCGGCUGAUCUUCGUCUCCGGUAACGAUUAACGACGGCGCAAGCACAGCUGAUCUGUGCGCUAGCUCAAGCUUGGCCGAUCUGUUGCUUGCUCGAUUACUCUUCCUAUAUUCACUCAGAGUCAACUGUUUGACAAGAGUCGAAGUCCAAGUUAUUUUUUAAUUGAAGUUUUAAUUUAAUUUUUAUUUUUUAACUUGGUUUAGAACAUAAAUUCAUUCUUUAAUUUUGAUUUUCUGAGAAGUUAAUGAAUAUAUAAUGAAACUAUGUGUCUCAGAUUGAGGUCGGGCAUGUUUAUAUUUGCGUAAUCUGGAUACAGGAACCGUUUCAAAUAAAUUCAAGGUAACAUUCAAGUUUAUUUCAUCUUCUUCUCCCAUUUGUAGUUGAAAAUUAUCUCAAAAUCUUUUAUUUUCUGUGGGAUUAUGUUUAAUUUUGAGAGUUGGGUUUUGGUAAUGAGAUUGUUUAUGAUUAGGGUUGUCCCUCUUCCUAUUUUAGGCUUUUCAAUUUCGUUGAAAGCUUUGCUUUAAUUUGUUUUCAUUGAUAGUUAAUAUCAAAAAUUCAAAAAAGAAAUUGAUAAUAAGGCUUAUCUAUUUUGUUUUUGCAUAUUUUGAUAACGUUGCUUGUCCCCAUUUGUGGUUCCGCUUUUGGGGUUGAUUUGAUAAUUUUUCAUGGUUGAAGAUGAUCCAUUGACCAUGUUCACAAAUUAGAUAUAUUAUUUUUCAUCAAACUAAAACAACAAUGGACAAUUCUAGGGUCUGUUGUGCUGUAGUUCUGCUAUCAAAAUAGCUCCUGGAAGUUUUCAAGAGCAGUUUUGCUGGUGUUCCACUAUGAAAACAACCCUGGAAAUUUGGAUGGGCUGUUUUGCUGCUGUUCUGUGAUGAAAACAGCCCCGAGAAAUUUGCAGGGGCAGUUUUGCUGCUGCUCUGCUAUGAAAACAGCCCCUGGAAAUUUGCAGAUGUUGGUUUGUUGCUGUUCUAGAGGGACUAAUGAUGUGUUUGGAUCUUUAUGCAACAGGUGCAAGUAUCUCCGUGUUUUAGUCGACACUAAAACCCCUGCUGACUUCAAGUGGCUCCCUUGAAUUGGCAAUUGGAUUUGCUCUGGUAAGUAUCUUUUUACUUUCUAUCUCUUAUUCUGUUUCCAUAUUUCUUCAUAUUAUUAGUUCUAGAGCUUUUUUCCUUUUAAUAUUUUUAAUUUUUAAUUUUCUAUUUCUGAAAUACUUGCUGGAUUGUAGUUUCUACUGUUUUUUUUUUUUUUUGUGAAAUAUUUUAGCUAUUUGUUGAUAGGUUUAGUUUAGGAGUUAUAUUGAAGAGUUUGGUGUUUAAUAUUAAGAACUAAGUAAUAGGUAAUGUUGAAACAGAACACAUGCUUAGGUGAUACAUCAGUACAAAUUGUACCUUGAAAUCAGUUGAAAUUGUCUACUUGCUUCUAAAGUUUUUUUUUUCCCCGUAACUAGCUGCACUUUUUUGUUUGGCAAAGCCCAAAAGAAAAUGAAAAGGAAAUCACGGACACAUGUAAUGUUUAUUUCGUAUAAUUUUUUCUUUCUUUGUUGUUUGAUUGUAAUAAUGAUUAAUGAUUUUUGAAAUCGGGUGGCUUGUUUGCAGGAAACCGAGUUAAGCUGCUGAAAUAUUUUGAGAAAUAUAAUAAAUUUUAAUUUAUUAGACUUGCUCUAUGCUGGCUCUAUUUCUAAGCUUCUGCAUUUUGUUACUGUUCCUUCUCUGCAAAGUAUAGUUUUAAUUCUUGUACAGCAGCAUUAGCUUUUUCUCUGCUAAUAUCUAGUGUCUUUGUGCUUUCUUCACAAAUUAAGCUUUUGAACUAUAACAUUUCCUAUUAUGCAGCAUUAGAGCACUAGUUGGCAAGUGAUCGAUAGUGAUUUUGUUGAUACCUUAAAGUUGGAAUGAUUAUGUUAUUAAAUUCUAAUUUGUACAUGAAUAGAACCUAGGCUAAUCAAAGAACGUUAGUUCUUCUUGUCUGUUUUUUAUUUUACUAAAAUGCUGUUAUAUAUAUAGAUUGAUAAAUUGCUGUUCCUUUCACUUGCAUAUGAAUUUAUCCUUUCGUUAUGAUUUUCAAAGGUUUGUUAAGUUCAUUUACAUGUGGAUUUUAUGGUAGAUUUUGUUAAGAUAAUCAUGUACAUUUCUCUUUUGGUAUUAAUUGUGGUAUGCUUGCUAUGUCUUAUUUAUUCGUGGCAGGUUGUGACCAUUUUGAAGAGUAACAGGUCACUCUACAUAUAAGUCUUCUGAAUUUAAAGUAUGGUAGGAAAAAGACAGUCUCCCAGCAUUUCUCUAUUUGAAUUUUCUUUUUAGUCCAGUGCUUCUAGCAAUUUUUAUAAUAAUGCCUUUCCAUUGAGUAAUUUCUGUCAUUGGCAAUGGUUUUACUGCUUAUGCUUCAUUAUUUUCUCCUGGAUACUUAAAGUUAUCUUGUUAUAUGAUUGGGAAAAGUAUAAAUUCAAAAGUUAUGAUAGAAUUCUUUUGCAAGUUUCAUUAAUGCAUAGAGUCCUUUAUAUAUUACACAACUAAGAAAUAUAACCGCGCUUCGCACGGCUUUGAAAAAAAAUUUAGUAUUUAUCCUUUUUUCAAACAUCUCUCCCAACUUUCCCCAUAAAGUAAUUUUUGUUGUCACCGUGCUAUCCAUAAAAAUUAACAAAAGUUAAUAAUGUAAAAAGAAAAACUCAUUAUAAAGAUAUCGUAUUAUCAUUAAAUUCGAAAGUCUCAAAUUAUAUUACUAUAUAGUUGGUUACUUUUUUUUAUUCCAAAUCACCAAUAUUUUUAUUCCUUGUUUCAACUUGAAUAUUACCACUUGACUUUUUUAUUUGUGUUUAUGAAGAGGUGGGUGUGAGGAAAAAAAAAUGUUUUUCUUAAGAAUUAGAACAAAUAAUUAGGCAAUAAUUCAAGGAAUUGAGGUUGUUCAUUCUACAUUCUAAUUGGAUUUAGAGUGAUUUUCAUUAAUUUUUUCUUUUACAUUAAUUAUUUUAACCGCCAAGUACUGUUGUUUAUUCUACUGCGUUUGUGAGAAGAUGCUUAGUCUACCUAGAACAUAUUUUCUAAUUAAUUUUUCUUGUGAAUACUUUGAAUAAUCUCUAAGGGCUAUACCCUUUUUCGUUGUACUUUUAAUGGUUUUUCUUCAACCAAUAUUGGAUGUAUUCAUUGAAAAAGAAAAUUAAAAAUUAGGUAAUAAUUAAUAAGAUUAAUGAAGUCAAACUGUUUGUCAAUUCUUAUGAUAAAACAAUAAUUAAAAAAAAAAGUUAUAGUUUUCUUGAUUAUAUUUAACUUAUUAAUCUGACAGAACUUUUAUAUAUCUUUUCUUCCAACCACAACUCCAACGAUUUCAAUAUCACUCACCAUAUAAAUUUCUGACAACAUCUGUAAUAUCAUGGAAAAAUAACAUAAACAUGUUAAAAUAUAAGGAUCAAUAAUUUCUAAUAUGCACUUAAAGAUUAACAAAUAUUAAUAAUUAAAAUAAAUAAAUGAAAUGAUUGUGUUAUCAUUCAGACGUAAAUCAAUAAAAUUCGGAGAUACAAAUUAGAAUUCAUUGAUUGAAAUCUUAUUAGUUUUUUCUUCUAAUUUCUUAAGCGAAGUUAUAACUAAGAAAAUAAUUUUAUACUAAAUUGAAAGUGGUUUGCACUCGCCUAAUGUUGAAAUAUUUUUUUAAUUUUUGACACUAUACAAAGAAUUCUCACUCAACAUGUGCCUAAAUUUUGUCACUAAUUUUUUCUUAACUGUUGCAUGCAUUAGAUUUUCCUAUGAAAAAAAAAAUGCUACAUUAAGUGUAAAACAAUUGGCAAAAAAAAAAAAAAUAGAGAAAACAAUGGGAGAAUGAAUUUUUUAUACAUCUUUUUCAUUAAUAAAAAUUAUGUCUACACUAAUUAAUUCUCUAUUCUUCUUGGGAUUAAUAAACUUUCACAUCCUACAAAACAUAACUCUUAUGAUCCAACUAUCUCCAUCAUUGUUCAACUCACGAAGUAAAUAGUACUUCAUGAAGCAUACAAUACUAAAAAUUCAAUGAAGUCAAACAAUCAAAACACAAGAAUCCUUCUAAAGAGUGUUAGCAUAUACGACUGUAAAAUAUUAAUUUUGAUGAUAACAAAUUACAUGUUUUGGAUAAAUAAAGAAUUACACAUUAUGUUUUUAUAACAAGAAAAUAAUUUUAUAAAUUAGUUAUUUUUCAAGUUGUGGACUAAAAUGAAAUUUUUUUAUCAUUUUUUAUUUUAAUAGGUAUUGUUUUGAAUUUUAAAUUUGGACCUAUUUAUAAAUAUUUGAAACAAUUUGGUCAUAUUAUAAUUUUUACAAAUUUGGGUUUUAUCAUAAUUUUAGCAAGUUUUGGGAAUGACAAGCAUUAUUUAGAAAUUUAGAAAUUAGAUCUUUUUAUAAAGGUUUAUGACGUUUUAGGCUAUAAUAUAAUUUUAUAAAGGUUUGGGGUAAAACUAUAAUUUUAAAAAAUAGUUGUUUCAUUAUAGUAAAGCGGGUAACCAGAUUCAGAAAGCAGCAAACUGGUUAUGGACAGAAACUAUUGAAUGAAAGCGAUUAACUAGAUUUAGAAAGCAGCAAACCGGAUGUGCAAAAAUUUAAAUUUUUUAACAUAAUGGUAACAUAAAGCGGCAAAUUAGUUAUCACCAUAAAGUCAAUAACAGCUAAUUUUCUUUAAUUAUAAAUUGGCUCAAAUGAAAUUCAAUCUAUGUGAUACAACUAUUGUUAUUAUUGAGCAUUUCUCUGCAAGUUUAAAGUAUAAAUUUUGUGUAUUCAUUUCAUUUGGUAAGGGGAAAAUUUGUUAUUUAUGAGAAAUAUUCAUAUGCAUUUAUGCAGGAGGAGUCUUUUAAUAACAAACAAAUUUCCCCCUUUCAUUUGUUCUAAUACUAAAUGAAAUGUAAGUUACGCAAUCCAAGAGAGGGGUGAAUUAUGAUUUUAAAACUUAAGCUAAGCAAACCAUAUAAUAAUUCAAUUUAAUGUCUUAAUAGAAUUGAAAACAAUAAAUUUAAUAAAUCAAAAUAAUAAAAGAGUAAGGGAAGAUAAAACAAACACAAGGAUUUUUAUGUGGUUCGGCAAUCCUCGCAUACAUCCACGCCUCAAGCAUACGGGACUUGAGGAUUUCAUUAUCCAAGCCUCACAAGGCUUCAAACGCUGACAAUUGGCUUCCAAGGUGUUAAUGGAUCUCUACAACAAGAGAUUAUCUUCAAUCUCUUAACCUAAGUGUAUCUUAACACUUACAAUCUCUCAAUUUGCUAUUACAAAAAAGAUUACAAAAAUUUCUCUCAUGCAAUGUGUUUUAAUACAAAUGAAAGUCCAAUAUAUGUGAAUAAAUGAAAUGAAUACACAGUUUUUGUUUUAGACUUGCAGAGAAAUGCUCAAUAAUAACAAUGUUUACAUUGCUUUGAUUGAAUUUGAUGAGUUAAUUUAUAGUUGAAGAAGAAAACUAAAUGCUCAAUAAUAACAAUGUUUGCAUCGCUUCGAUUGAACUUGAUUUGAGUUAAUUUAUAGUUGAAGAAGAAAACUAGCCGUUAUUGACUUUCUGGUGAUAACUGGCUUGCCGCUUUAUGUUACGAUUAUGUUAAAAAUUUUGAAUUUUUGCACAUCCAGCUUGCCGCUUUUUGAAUUCGGUUAGCCGUUUAGCUACAGUCAAAUAAUUAUUUUCUAAAAUUAUAGUUUUAUCACAAACCUUUAUAAAAUUAUACUAUGGCUCAAAAUAUCAUAAACCUUUGCAAUAAGGUCCAAUUUCAGAAUUUCUAAAUAAUGCUUGUUGUUCCCAAAACUUACUGAAAUUAUAGUAUGGCCCAAAACGUUUCAAAUAUUUACAAAUAAAUCUAAAUUCAAAAUUCAAAACAAUACAUAUUAAAACCAAAGAUGAUAAAAAAAUUUCAGUUUUUAGUCCACAUCUUGAAAAAUAACAAAUUUCAUAAAAUCAUUUUCUUGUUAUAAAAGCAUAAUGUAUAAUUUUUUGUUUAUCUAAAAUAUGUGUUUUGUUAUCAUCAAACAGCAUAGGAUAACAAUCUCUCCCUUUUUUGAUGAGGACAAAACACAUUAUAAAGAUUUGAUUUAGUUAUGAAAAACUCCCUCUUAAUCAAUGUAAGAUUAAAAAUUAAUUUAAAAAUGAUUUAAAAGACUCCUCCUGCAUAAAUGUAUAUAAAUAUUUUUUUAUAACAAAUAAAUUUUUCCCUUACAUAUUAUAUCUCCCCCUUCAUCAUCAAAAAUAGUAAAAAAGCUUCUCCUAUUAAUCAUCAAAAUCUCAAGACAAGCACAUUAGUUUCACAUUAUCCAAAACAUAAGUGAAAAACAUAACUAACAAUCAUAUCAAAUUCACAUAAUCCAAAAUAGAUACAUAAUCCAAAAACAUAACAAACAUCCAUAUAAUCUAAAUGGAGAAUUAAAGAACAUAAAAUAAUAAAUGUUGGUGUGUCUAAAUAUAAGCAUAAGAGACUACUGAGGUGCUAACAUAUAUAGAAUGUCAAAGUGCUCAAAGAAGAGGCAUUGUUCGUGAAUGAGCUGCUGAUGCUGCUAUGAGAGGCGCUGGUGCUCUUCAAGAAUGUGCUACUGAAAAUCGGUCUGCUGCACAAAAAGUGUCCUCAUCUCAUCCAUAAGCUGCUGAAGAGUAAUCUCGUCAGAGGCAUGAGGCUCUGGAGGUGGUAAAACAUAUGCAAAGACAUCAGGAGCAGAGGCAAGCACAGAAAGUGUCUUCACCUCAUCCAUAAGCUGCUGAAGAGUAAUCUCGUCAGAGGCAGGAGGCUCUAGAGGUGGUAAAGCAUAUGCAAAGACAUUAGGAGCAAAGACAGACACUGGAAAGACUCAACGUCUACGCUGACCCCGAAAUGGAAGCGAAAAAUAAGGAAGUUGAUCAGUAGGAACCACAUCAUUGAGUGACCGAUCAUCACUUGGAGCAAGAAAAAUGUACUUAUUGUCAGUGAAUUUUACCCAAGCUUCAUUACGCCACUCAAAUCUUAAGGCACAUAUAGUUUCAUCAUCGAUACUCUUAGAAGGUUUACAAGAUGGUUCAUUGAUAGGUACUUUAAAAUGUCUAAGGAUCCGAGUGAUAAAAUGAUCAUAUAGAAGAGAACGGGUAAUCAAUUUAGGUAUAGAAAGCAUGGUUCGGAUAAUGGUGUACCCCAAGUUAACGGGACGAUGUCUAAGGUUGGAAUUAAUCAAAGCAACAUCCAUGUGAGAAACCUCAUCCAAAUGCCCUGACCUAGGAAGCACAAUGAUCUGAAUAAAACNNNNNNNNNNNNNNNNNNNNNNNNNNNNNNNNNNNNNNNNNNNNNNNNNNNNNNNNNNNNNNNNNNNNNNNNNNNNNNNNNNNNNNNNNNNNNNNNNNNNUGCUCGGAAGUAAAAUACUUUCACCACAGUCGGGAUACACACUUCUCCUCAAUCACAAGAGCAUUAAUCCAACCAAUUUCUUUCAACAAUUGAAACAAAUUUCUAUUUUUAAAAUGGAGACUACGAAGCUAAUUCGGUAAAACAAAAAAUGUAGAGAGUACCUCGCGGGUCAUGAAAUUUUGGUGAAAUCGCUAAACUAAACGCUUGUUUGGAAAGUGCUUGGAUUCAAAGUUGGACUGAUUUGAAAUGUCCCUUGCCUGCCUGCUUGCCAUGGCCGUUUUGCUUAUUAAACAUAUUCUUUCCCUUUUCCUCUAAUCGGCCUUGAAUUAUACAUGAUAAUGUUGAGUGAUUUGAAGAUAAAUGAAGUAAUAAAAAAAAUAAUGAGGUAGAAACGAGAUAUUGAUAUUCAAUUUAGGUGGAAGAUGACUUAAGAAGAAGAAAUUUAAAGAGAGAAAGUUCGGUUGAAAACUUAGGUUAGAAAUAGGAUCUUGUAAGUUUGAUGAUGAGAAUGGAUUUUGAAGAUGAUUUUGAGCACAAGGAAUGGUGGGGAAUGAUUUUUGUGAAUUAAUUUGGUGCAAAAGUGAAUAAAGAUGAUGAAUUUUAGAGUGAGAGUGAGAGAGGAAGGAAAUGGUUUUAGAGAGAGUGAGAACCGGUUUGCCGAAUAGAUAGAAGAAGAUAAAAAGCCUGAAUUCGGCUUAUCGGAUUGCACUAACUGGCUAACCGGUUUGUGUCUAGAAAGUGAAAAUUUGAAAACGGUUUAUUGGUUUCCCUAUCCGACUGAUCGAUUAUUUCCAGUGAAUGCCAAAGGAAAAUCCGGCUUAUCGGUUUGCAAUAUCCGGCUGACCGAUUAUGAUCCAAUGAAUGCCAACGCAAAUUCAACUUAUCGUUUCAAAGAAACUGGCUGACCGGUUCUGGUCCAGAGAGAAAAAUUAAGAAACGAUUUACCGAUUUUCCUAAUCGGCCAUCCGGAUUGUGGCCCGAGAGUAACCUUUAAGAAAACGGGUUACGAAUUUUCUAUAUCCGGCUAUCCAGAUUUGGUCCAGUGAGUAACAAUAAGAAAAACGACUUUCCGGUUGAUUAGAAGCGGCAUGCUGGUUUAUCCUUAGAAAUUAUUUUUGGAAAUCUUCAAAAUUAAAUUCAUGCUUGCAUGUCCUAGUUUUUUUUGUCAUAGCCAACCAUCAUUAUAUAAUGCCGAAAAAUAUUUAUCAUGAGUAUGUGCAAAUUCUAUGUUAAUGGUAUAAACAUUACCAAAUUUUGCCAUCAUAUGCAUUUUUAAUAAUACAUUUAGAUUUAAGGUAAAUUGAACAUCAAUAUCUCGUUUCUACCUCAUUAUCUUUUCUUUUAUUACUUCAUUUAUCUUCAAACCACUCAACAUUAUCAUGUAUAGUUCAAGGCCGGUUAAAGGAAAAGGGAAAGAACAUGUUUAACAAGCAAAACGGCCAUGGCAGGCAUGCAGGGGACACUUUAAAUCAGUCCAACUUUGAAUCCAAAUACUUUCCGAACAAGCACUCAGUCAAGCGAUUUCACCAAAAUUUCAUGAACCGUGAGGUACUAUCUACAUUUUUUGUUUUACCGGAUUGUCUUCGUAGUCUCAGUAUUAGUAAUAGAAAUUUGUUUCAAUUGUUAGAAGAAGUUGGUUGGAUUAAUGCUCUUGUGAUUGAGGAGCAUGUGUAUCCCGACUUAGUGAAAGUAUUUCACUCGAAUAUGGAUAUUUUCGAGGAAUUUUGAUUGAUUUUGAUGUUUUAGAAUUAAAUUCUAUUCUAGGAACCUCCGAUUUUGGCUUAGAAAUAUUUUCUGCUAGGAAAUCUCCCGAUAUUGGUCAUUAUGCUCAUGUUCACACCGUUAGAAAUAUAUGCCGGCGCAUUGAUCUUUCUGAUGAAAUUUGUAACAUUCAUUUCCGCACUCAAUAUCUGUGUCUCCAAACUCGAAAUUUACUUCGUUUUAUUCAAACCAUUAUGCUUACUAGGUCAAUGUAUUUGGAUGAGGUUUCCCACAUGUAUGUUGCUUUGAUUGAUUCCAUCUUUAAACAUCGUCCCAUUAACUUGGGGUACACCAUUAUCUGAACCAUGCUUUCUAUACCUAAAUUGAUUAUCUGUUCUCUUCUAUAUGGUCAUUUUAUCACCCGGAUCCUUAAACAUUUUUGGGUACCUAUCAAUGAACCAUCUUUUAAAGAUUCUAAGAGUAUCGGGGAUGAAGCUAUAUGUGCGUUAGGAUUUGAGUGGCGUAAUGGAGCUUGGGUGAAAUUCACUGACAAUAAGUACAUUUUUCUUGCUCCAAGUGAUGAUUGGCCACUCAAUGAUGUGGUUCCUGCUGAUCCACUUUCUGAUUUUUCGCUUUCAUUUCGGGGUCAGCGUAUACGUCGAGUCCCUCCAGUGUCUGCCUCUGCUCCUGAUGUCUCUGCAUGUGCUUUACCACGUUCAAAGCCCCCUGCCUCUGACGAGAUUACUCUUCAACAGGUUAUAAAUGAGGUGAGGAUACUUUCUGUGCAGCAGAUCGAUUUUCAGUAGCACAUUCUUGAGGAGCACCAACGCCUCUCACAACAGCAUCAACAGCUCAUUCAUGGACAGCACCUCCUCUUUGAGCACUUUGGCAUUCCAUAUAAAUUUCUACCUCAGUGGUCUCUUAUGUUUAUAUUUGGACACACCAACAUUUACUGCUUUAUGUUCUUUUAUUCUCCAUUUAAAUUAUAUGGAUGUUUGUUAUGUUUUUGGAUUAUGUGAAUUUGAUAUGAUUAUGGAUGUUUGUUAUGUUUUUGGAUUAUGUGAAUUUGAUAUGAUUGUUGGUUAUGUUUUUCACUUAUGUUUUAGAUAAUGUGGAACUAAUGUUCUUGUCUUGAGAUUUUGAUGAUUAAUAGGGGAGUUUUUUUUACUUUUUUUUAUGAUGAAGGGAGAGAUAUGUAUAUAAGGGGGAAAUUUGUUUGUUAUAAAAAACAUUCAUAUGCAUUUAUGCAGGGGAGUCUUUUAAAUCAUUUUCAAAUUAGUUUUUAAUCUUGCAUUGAUUAAAGGGGAGUUUUUCAUAACUAAAUCAAAUCUUUAUAAUGUGUUUUGUUAUCAUAAAAAAUGGAUAGAUUGUUAGCCUAUGUAGUUUGAUGAUAACAAAUCAUAUGUUUUGGAUUAAAAAAAAAAGAAUUACACAUUAUGUUUUUAUAACAAAAAAAUAAUUAUAUGAAAUUAGUAAUUUUUUAAGAUUUGGACUAAAAUGAAAAAGUUUUUAUCAUCUUUGAUUUUAAUAAGUAUUGUUUUGAAUUUUGAAUUUAGACUUAUUUAUAAAUAUUUGAAACGUAAUUAUUUUUUAAUCUCAAUCAAUAUAUUAGAUAACAGAGAAUAUAAAAAAAUGAGGAAUAGUGAUGCUACAUUAGCUCUUUUAGUCUCAACUUUAUAUAAAUAUAUAGAUUUUGGAAAUAGUUUGAUCUCUUUUUCUAUUGGUCUCUAUAGAUUCUUAUUCACCACUACAAUUUCUAUUGCUGAUUUUGCCUUUCGAUUAGUUGCUUGUUUUAAAUUAUUUUUCAUUUUCAAUGAAUUUUGGCCUUGCUUGUGCAGGAGUUGGCAUUGUGAUAAAUUGAGGUUUAUCAUGGAUUGAAAAAUUGGAUUUGGUUAGAGUUUAUGCUGAUAUUAUGUGCAAUUACCAUUGAUAGAACAAGAGAUCAAUAUAAGAAUAACUAUUUUGGGUUAUUAAAUUCUUGUACAUUAUACUUAAGAAUAUUGUAUUGACAAUUGCAUAAGGAUAUUCAUGGAUUCUUUCAUAUUAAUAUAUUAUUAAUUUUUGUUUAUUUUAAUAGUAUCAAGAACUUAUAAUUAAAAUGUAUAUAUAACUUUUUUUUUUCAUAAUUGUUAUUCGCAACUUGCAUCUACAUGUUGAAAAAUAUACAAAUAAAAUAAGGUUUUAACCACAUUUAUUGAGUGUGGUUAGAUAUAGUUUAAAAAACCAUAGAAUAUUGUUAAAAAUAUUCAAGUUUAGACAGCAUCAACAUUCACAGCGCGUGGUUGAACGUUGUUAAAGGUGUUUAACAAUGUACAAUACAUGUUAAAUCCCUUUUUUUUUUCUUGUAGUGAAGGGCUAAUGAAAUUAUGUUGUGUAAAUUGUGUUACAAUACAUAUUUUGUUAUUUUGUUUAAUUUUCUUUUACUGCCAUAAUUCAAUCAACCAUAUUAGUAUGUCUCUGUGUUUAUACCUUUUUCGUUCCUACCGCGUUUGUUUGAGAGAUCAAAUAUUUGAAAGUAAAUAAAAGGGUUCAUGCAUGCAUGGAUUAUAGAGUACUUAAAAGAAAAUUAUUAGCGCCUAAUUGUUUAUCUGGAGGGAACUAAUUCUAACAACAAUCUACAUAAAAUAGGGAGCAUACAUGGUACAUAAAAUAUAGACCAUAUUCUAUCACUAAAUUUGUAUUAAUGUAGAUUUAAUUUGACUAUUUUACUCUUAUAACAUAAAAUGAUCAAAUUAAAAAAAAAAAGAUGGCUUAUUAUUAUAAUAAUUAAUUUAGGAAUUUUAUUUGUGAAAAGAGUCUUGGGUGUUCUAGUAUUGUACCAAAGACUCUCUCACUUUAUGACCUAUAACCUUGUAUGCUGUGUAAAUGAUAGAAGUUUGACAAUUUGAUAAAUUUCAUGAGAUUGAUAUUAUAUCCCAAUGACAUUUUGUUAGAUUCAUUAAAAAUUAAUAUUCAUACUAAUAAUGUAUUAAUUACCAAUAAAUCAUUUAGAAACGUUUUGGUGUAAAGUUAGAAUAAAAAAUUAUUGACUUUAAAAUAACUUUUUUUUGGGGCAUUUCCAUAGUUUUGCCUUAAAAUGUUAAAAUAAAAAUAUAUUAGUGUUAUAAUAUUCAUGCAAUCUUAGUUUAAACAUGGUAAAGAGAUUUGAAUUAAAAAAAAAGAAUAAUAUAAUUAAUUAAUUGUAUAAAUUAAUAAUUACAAAAAUGAGCUUAAAGCUUCAAAAUAUUGAUUAAGGAUCUUCUCAUGAUAGCUAAUCUGAAAUUUACAUUUUUAACCAUGCAUGGUCAUUAUUACUUAUUUAUUAUGGGGUUUUAAAUAAUUAUGGUGAGUUUAUUUUAAAAUUAUUAUUAACAUAGGAAAUUGGUUUUAAAGAUAUCAUUUUAGAUAAACUAAUUAACACUUGUUAGUUGUUAUUUUCAACAAUCUAUAUAAUUUUUGCAUGUUUUUUAAUCAUAUAAUAUUAAUGUAAAAUGAUCGCCCAAUUGAUGGCCUCUUAUAGUGCAGUAAUAAAGCAGCUAGCUGUGUUGAAACAGAAUGCAUGUAAAAACAAAACGGCAAGCCGUUAAAAGAAAACGGCUUGUUGUUUUCGAAUAGAAGGCAGAUGAAAAGGAACGGCUAGCCUCUUCAUCAUAAAUGGCUAGCGGUUAUCAAACAGAAACCAAAAUUUACGAAAACGACUAGCUAUUUGUGGUAAACGAUUGGACGUUUUCUCGACAAAAGGAUACAUUUAACGUUUAUUCUUCGUCCUUCAUUAUGCAAAUAAUGAGCCAAUAAAUAAAAAACACCUACCACUAAUCUUGAUACCUAAAUCGAUAAACUUGAAACUUAGGGCAAUGAACACCAAACUUGGGAUCAUUAACUUGCAACCCUAAAAAUCAUACAAAUAAUGGAUCAAUAAAUAUGAACCAUCCACCAUUAACCAUUAACUUGAUACCUGAAACAUUAAACUUGAAACCAAAAGAACUUGAAUCAUAGGGUAAUAAACACGAAACUUAAAAUCAUUAACUUGCAAUUAUGAAAAUCAUGUAAUUAAUUGACCAAUUAACAAUAAACACAUACCAUUAACUAGAUACCGAGACUAUUAAGCCUGAAAUUAAAGGAACUUGAAACGUAGGGCAAUAAAUAUGAAACUUGUGAUUAUUAACUUGUGACCAUGAAAAUCAUGCGAUUGAUGGACCAAUAAACAUGAGACACCCACCAUUUACUUGAUACCUAAACCAUUAAACUUAAAAUUAAAGGAACUUGAAAGUUAGGGUAAUAAACAUGAAACUUGAGAUCAUUAACUUACAACCAUAAAAAUCAUGCAAUUAAUGGACCAAUAAAUAUGAAACACUUACCAUUAACUUAAUAUUGAGACCAUUAAACUUGAAACCAAAAGAAACUUGAAAUUUAGGACAAUGAACAUGAAAUUUGAUAUCAUUAAUUUGCAAUCAUGAAAAUCAUGCAAUUAAUGGACCAACAAACAUGAAGCACCUACCAUUAAUUUGAUACUAAAACCAUUAAACUUGAAACCAAAAGAACUUAAAACUUAGGGCAACGCAAAUGAAACUUGUGAUCAUUAACUUGCAACCAUGAAAAUCAUGCAAUUAAUGGACUAAUAAAUGUGAAACACCAAACAUUUACUUGAUAUAGAGACCGUUAAACUUGAAACCAAAUGAAUUUGAAACUUAAGGUAAUAAACAUGAAACUUAUGAUCAUUAACUUGCAACCAUGAAAAUCAUACAAUUAAUGGACUAAUAAAUAUAAAACACCCAUCAUUAACUUGAUACUUGGAUAAUUAAACUUGAAACCAAAGGAACUCGAAUCAAGGGCAAUAAACACGAAACUUAAGAUUGCAAUACUCUUCUUAUUGGCACACACAUACAGAACACUCACUCCACACUAGAGCUGGCAAAACGGGUCAUCGGGUCGUGUUCGUGUCGUGUCAGCUUCGUGUCGUGUCAAAUUUAGGUCGACCCAAACCCGACCUAUUUAAUAAUCGUGUCAAAAUAUUGAGACCCAAACCCGACACGGAAAAAUAAUCGGGUUACCCAAUAACCCGUUUAAUAUCUAUAUAUUGAAUAAAAGUUACAUCAAAUAUUUACAUACUAUCAUACAUACGUAUGUACAUACAUACAUACAUACAUAAUUUAUCGAUAUUAUAAAAUAUACAUAUAUACCAAUAUAUUACACAUUUACACUAUUGAGGUUUUAAUUAUAUAUAUAUAAUAUUAUAUAUCAAUAUUAUAAAAUAUACAUGUCUAUCAAUUUUUACACAUUUACACUAUUGAAGCUCUAAAUGUAUUUAAAAUUUUAUAAAUAAAACACUGUGUUUAUAUUCACCAUUUUAAAGAAUAAAAAAAAGAAAAUCAUCUCUAAUAUUUGAGUUUUAAUGAUAAAAAUAUGUAAAUUAUUUUAAAAUAGAAAAUAUAAUCGGGUCAUUGAUCGGGUAAAUGGGUCAAGAAUUUUAACCCAAACCCGACACGGAAAAAAAUCGUGUUGACCCGGACCCGACCCAUUUAAUAAUCGUGUUAAAUUUGACAACUCAUACCCAUUUAUUUAUGUCGUGUUCGUGUCGGGUAAUCGGGUCGUGUCAAAUUUUGCCAGCUCUACUCCACACACACAGACCAGAGACGACAGUAGCUGCCAGCUUGCUCCACCUCGACCGACAGCCACCAAACUCGUUCAAACUGCCAGCUUGCCCCACCUCAAUCGACAGCUUGCCAACUUACUUCAUGGUGUAUUUGCGUCUUGUUUCUUGACGAAAUGGGUCGAUUUGCUUGCUUUGUCUUGCUCUAUCUACGAUCUAUUGAUUUAUUGGGUUUUAUUUUAUUCAAAAAAUCAAAAUCUGAUUUUGCUGACAAAAAGUCAGAAAGGGAGAGAAUUUUCAAACUUGGGCAAUGCAGAUCAAGAGAAGUCAAAGAAAAAGAUCUGUGAUUAAUGGAAAUGGGGCUACUCCAAUUUCGAUUUCAAUAUCAAUAUCAAUUGUCCCCUGUGAAGAUAUGAUUUAUUAUCAUUACUCUUCUUACUAUUUUGAAUAUAAACUGAUUUGUUCUUAAAAAAAUAAAAAAUCAUCUGACUCGAAUGCUAUUUCAACCCGAACCUAUUUGAAUUCAAUUCGAACUUAUAAUCCGAUUCGAAUGAUUUUUUUCUUUUUUGAGAACAGAUCAGUUGAUAUUCAAAAUAAUAAAAGUAACGAUAAGAAAUCAUAUCUUAACAAGAGAAUCUGGAUUGAAUUUGGAUGAUUAUUCUUCCAAGCCAACUAAUCCGAAAUCUGAUUGGGUUUAUCCGAACCCGAUCCGAAUCCGAAUUUGCUCACCCUUAAUUAGUCAAAGAAUUGCUCUGUCUUUUUUAUUAUUAUUUGCAUGUAUCACGUACAUGCAGGUAUUGUAGUUGUGACCCUCUAGCAUAUGCUAAAAUUUUAGUAGGCUAUCUCAAAAUUUCAACAUGCUGAAAUGAUGGGGACAAUUCCACACAAAUUGGAUUUAGUAAUUAAUUAUAGAUGUGGCAUUUGUUUACCAAUUUAAGAUAUACUUCCGUCAUGCAUGCAUUAUCAAUGCUUUUUAAUUUGCCUCAUCAAUGACGAUCAUGGAUAAAUUAAUCAACGUACAUUUGCCUUUUGAGCAUGUAUUGGAAAAUAAAUGUUGAACAAUGUAACCUGAAUAGUGCCAAAUUAAUGCGGAGACACUUCCAUAAGUAACUUGGCCAUAUGCAAACUAACCCGUUUCUCAAGCAUAAUAUCAUUAUCAUUGCCAAUUUACUUGACCAAUAUACAAUAGCUGACCGUUAAUCCUCGCAUGAGUUUGGUUGACUUCUUUUUUCAUGCAAUAUGAACGCAAAGCAAAGUCAUGGUCAAAACAUGAGCAUGCCUCCAAUUUGUCAAAGCUAAAUUGCUGGCUUUAUUGGUUUGUUUUUCGGUGUUGUUUUUCAAAGAAAUAAUGAUAUUUUUCAGGCUUAGAAAGGCUAUAAAUUGAAAGAUUAUUUGAUGAGGUAGAUGCAAUGAGAUUGACAUUGCCAAAAGAUAUUGAGUUGAUUCACUGUUUUUUUUUUUUAAUUCAGUUUGUGUUUUUGAGAGUUAUAUUUGAUUGAUUGUGUUUAUCGACAUUCAUUAAUUAAAGAGUUAAAAAUAGGUCUUGGGAUGGAUUGAUUAGAUCAGAUUGACAGAUCUUAAUCAUAAUAAGAAGUGCUACGAUGGUUUUCUCAAUUUCAUAUACUCAUAGAUAUAGGUUUUAAUCUAAUAUGACAUAAUAUGAUUGAAUACAUAAAAAAAUAAAAAUAAAUUAUGUGCGUCGGAAAUAUAUAGAGAUGGGUCUCUAAGCCCAUGUAGUUUCUUACGAUCUGGAAGAUUUGAUAUGACCACUGGAACCUCCUUGAACUUGUUAGCCCAUGCAUGCAAUCAGUGAUGGGUUCCCACACUUUCCCACGUAGCCUUGCCUUAGUAACAUCAAUCUUUUCAACGUGACCCCCAUCUUAUUAUACUAACUUUUUAGCAUCUCCCCGAAGAUUUUCUUAUGCCCCAGGCCUUACUCUUCUAAGACUUUCAGAAGUUCGCUUAAGUUCCUUUGAUGCCUUCUUUUGCUCUUCAUUCAUUUUUUGGAACUGUGGUGAGGCUAUUUAAUAAUUAAUCAUGAUUAACUGCCAAAUAGCUUCAUUUCAGUUUCAUCCCUAUAGAAAUUAAUAUAUAUCAUUUACCUCUCCUAUUAUUUUUAUAAUACCCAAUAACUCUAUUAAAACCAUUUUUUAGAACUGUGGUGAGGCUAUUUAAUAAUUAAUCAUGAUUAACUACCAAAUAGCUUCAUUUUAGUUUCAUCCCUAUAGAAAUUAAUAUAUAUCACUUACCUCUCCUACUAUUUUCAUAAUACCCAAUAACUCUAUUAAAACCAUUUUUAUAAUAUAACUUUUAUUUUUAAAUAUAUUUUUAUUUAUAUUUAUUAUAAAUUAAGUAAAUCAUCUAAAUUAAAAUUAAAAUAAAAAAUUAAAAUACUAAAAAUAAGAAAUAUAAGUUUAUGUAUGAAUAAAAAAAUUUAUAAUGAGAAAAUUUCUUGUAGGUUUUGUUAUUUUUAAACAAUUUUUUUUUCUUAUAAUAAAUAUAUAUUUUAUGCUCCUAAGAUCAAAUAUUAAAUGAGUGAUCUAUUCUUUCUUAUAAAGUAGGGAUAAGUGGUAUAUACUAAAUUUAGUAGUAAGAAGAUUGAUGUAGAAAACAUAUUAGAUAAAAUAAAUUAGAAUUGACUAGGAAUUAUAAUAUUUGGGUCAAUUUACUAUUUAGUAUUUUAUUAGAAUUUAUCUUGUUUUAUUUAGCCUAUUUCAGUCAUAUUUGUAAUUAUAGUCUAAUUAGGAUUUUAGAUUAUUUCUCUUAUUUGAGAAAGAUUAAGAUUAAGAUAGCUACUAUUACAUAUAGGCUUGUUAUUCAUAGUUUAUGGCAACACGCAAGCUUCUCAUUAAUAAUAUUCAGUGUUUCUCAAUUGAGAUAUUUUCUCCAUUGCGAGAGCCUUCUUUCUUGAGUUUUCAAGAUGUACGCUAGAACAAAAUCUAGUAUCGCUUCUGUUCUGCGUUAGAAAUUGACGAUCUCUUAAUCUUUCUUUAACAAGUUGAGUAAAGAAUCUGAAUCCUUUCAAUAAUAGACGAUUUUGAAGAGUUUUAAAAUUUAAGAAGAGGAGAAAAUAAUUAUUUUACUGAAACAACAAGAGGUUUUUCAUCAUUUUUCACAAAUCAUUUUAUGAUAUCUGUUUUUUAAAGUUACCUUAUCUGCUCAAAAGAACCAAGCCAAAACUGAGAUGUGGCUCACCCAUAAUUAGCAUCGGUUGGCAGCAAUGGAUUUUCAGACCAUGUUUCUUUGAUCUAUUCAAGGAUUAUAAGUGAUUCACAAAGUGAAGUUUUCACCAUGAACAAGUAGAGGAUAAGGAGAGAGAGUGUUGUUGGAUGAAGAUUUGCUGUAGCUAGUUCAAGAAAGAUGAGGGGGAGAGAGAGUAGUUGAUGAAGAGAUAAGGAAGAGGAUUUAGGUCACAAGCUUGUGUGGUUUUAUUUUUUAAUUUAUUUUUGGGUUUAGUUUUGUAAUAUUUUGAGAACAUGUUUAACAUGUUUUCACUUUAUUAGUUAUAAAAGUGGAUAUGGAUUUCUUAUUUUGUAAUUUAUUUUUUGAGUUCAGCCUACCAAACAUGUAUUAUAUAUGUACUCUAAAAAUAAAAAUGAAAACAAUAGCUGAAAAGUGGUACCGAACAAGCCCUAAAUUUUUUUAAAAGGACAAAAUUUAAUUUUUGAUGUUGUCUCAUAUCUCCUUUCUUCUUCCUCUCUCUCUUUGCCCCUCACUCCCUCCCUCUUUGAGUUUUCAAUUUUUACGUUAACUCAAUUCAUUUGUGUUUUUUUUUUGUUUCCUCUCCUUAAAAAAAAUAAAAUAAUUUGAAUGGAGAUAAUUUGUUGUUACUUAAUAUUAUCUAUUGGUGUAAUAAUAUCACCACGUGGAAUUUGCUUUUACAUUAGCUUUAUCAUUACUCUUAUUAAACCUCAAAUUUAAGAUGGAUAGACCAAGUAUAUAUAAGAAGAAUAAAGCUCUGUUUAGUAUGGUUUUUCAAAUAGAAUUGAUUUAAAUGGAAUUUUUGUUACUAAAUCUUUUUUAAUUAAAGCUUUUAUUACAAAAAGAUUUAGUAGUUGUUCAGUUAUCAAUGCAAGUUUUUAUUAUGAAUUAUAAAGUUAUUUUUAAUAGACAAGUUUUUUAAAGUUAUAUUAUAGAAAAAUGAAAUAAGAUUGUCAAAUAAGUAAAUAAUAUUUUAAACAUUUUAACAUUUUACAAAAAAAUUAAUAUCUACUCUCAAAAGUCUAGAAUUUGAGUUUUUAAUAAUAGAGGCAAAUAACUUAUUUUCAUUUGGUAUAACUUUUUAUAUAAAAUUUAUUUAAGUAGAGUUUUUAUUAGUAGAACUUUUAUCAAAAAAUUAUUUGUUUGGUUGUUAAUAAGAGCUUUUAUUAAAAAUUAUGAAAUUACUUUAAUAGGUAAGUUUUUUAGAAUUAUAUUAUGAAAGGAAUAAAAUAAGAUUAUUAAAUAAGUAAAUGAUAUUUAUAUAUUUUAAUAUUUUAAAAAAAAUCCAAUCUCUAUUCCAAAAGCCCAAGUUUUGAGCUAUUGCUAGUAGAUACAAAAUAAUUUAUUUAUUUUUAAAAGCUCUGCUAAAAAAAUAAAAAAACCAAAAAUAUAAAAAGAGUUUACAAAAUUAAAUAAGCACCUCUAACAAUUAGAUAAAAUCAUGUCAAACAAGCACUUAAUUUUCAAAAUCUCUAUUAAAAAAUAACUAAAUAACCCAAAAUAAAUAAUAAAAAGAGCUUAUGGGAUUAAACAAACAUUUAUGACCAUCAGAUAAAUCACACCAAAUAGGACUAAAAUAAAGGUAAAAUCUUGUCUCUNNNNNNNNNNNNNNNNNNNNNNNNNNNNNNNNNNNNNNNNNNNNNNNNNNNNNNNNNNNNNNNNNNNNNNNNNNNNNNNNNNNNNNNNNNNNNNNNNNNNNNNNNNNNNNNNNNNNNNNNNNNNNNNNNNNNNNNNNNNNNNNNNNNNNNNNNNNNNNNNNNNNNNNNNNNNNNNNNNNNNNNNNNNNNNNNNNNNNNNNNNNNNNNNNNNNNNNNNNNNNNNNNNNNNNNNNNNNNNNNNNNNNNNNNNNNNNNNNNNNNNNNNNNNNNNNNNNNNNNNNNNNNNNNNNNNNNNNNNNNNNNNNNNNNNNNNNNNNNNNNNNNNNNNNNNNNNNNNNNNNNNNNNNNNNNNNNNNNNNNNNNNNNNNNNNNNNNNNNNNNNNNNNNNNNNNNNNNNNNNNNNNNNNNNNNNNNNNNNNNNNNNNNNNNNNNNNNNNNNNNNNNNNNNNNNNNNNNNNNNNNNNNNNNNNNNNNNNNNNNNNNNNNNNNNNNNNNNNNNNNNNNNNNNNNNNNNNNNNNNNNNNNNNNNNNNNNNNNNNNNNNNNNNNNNNNNNNNNNNNNNNNNNNNNNNNNNNNNNNNNNNNNNNNNNNNNNNNNNNNNNNNNNNNNNNNNNNNNNNNNNNNNNNNNNNNNNNNNNNNNNNNNNNNNNNNNNNNNNNNNNNNNNNNNNNNNNNNNNNNNNNNNNNNNNNNNNNNNNNNNNNNNNNNNNNNNNNNNNNNNNNNNNNNNNNNNNNNNNNNNNNNNNNNNNNNNNNNNNNNNNNNNNNNNNNNNNNNNNNNNNNNNNNNNNNNNNNNNNNNNNNNNNNNNNNNNNNNNNNNNNNNNNNNNNNNNNNNNNNNNNNNNNNNNNNNNNNNNNNNNNNNNNNNNNNNNNNNNNNNNNNNNNNNAUAAUUUUUUAAGAGGUAUCAUUUUUUUUUUUGAGAGGUUUAAGAGAUAUCAUUACUACUACUACUACAAAUUAUAAUUAGAUAACAAAAUAAAAAUAAAAUUAAUAAUAUAAAAAAAUUUUAAAUAUAAUUAUAUGUACACAAUAAAAAAAUCUUUUAUAUACAUAUUUAUAAAUGUUUAAAUAACUUUAUUCAACAUUAUGUCUAAAUAAGUCAUUUACAUUCUUAGAGUAAUUUAAUAAUGAGAUUUACUAAACACAUACAACUACUUUUAAAAUGUACAGCACUUUUAAAAAUAAAUUUUAUUGAACGUUUAAUUGAUUUUCUUCACAACUGAUUAUUUCAACAGUACAACUGACAACAAUUAUUUUAAAAAUUAUAACAUUAGCAAAUUGGCCCUUUAUGAGGUUUGAGUUCUCUCCUUUGUGAUAAAAAUAUGCCUUUAUUUUUAAGAAAAAAUAUUAUUCCUAUGAAUUGAAUUUCAAAUUUUGAAUGAAUAUAAUUUUAAAAGAUGAUAAUGAAUGUUCAAUUCAUGUGUGAUUAUCUAGUUGGAUCCGAUUAUGGAUAAAAUAUCAUAUUUGAUUAGCCAUAUCUCAUCUGAUGAAACAUAUCACAUUCACUCGUUGUAUGGUGGACAUUUAUAAUUUUACAACAGAAAUAUAUAUGAAGUGGAGUCUCUCUUUUAUUGUUCAUAAGUUAUAACCAUGUGAAAAGUACCCACUUCUAGGCCCAUGUUUGGUUGGAAGAAAUGGUAGGAAAAGAAAUGAAUGGAAAAGAAAGAAAGGGAGAGAAAAUGAGUGAAAAAGAAGGUCAAUUUCAUUUUUAUUAUUUGGAUGGUCAAGGAAUUCAUUUUUCUCUCCUCUCCUCCUUUCCUCUUCUCUCAUCUCCUUAUAUUUCUCCAAACUAAACAUGUAAGAACUUAAACACAAAGACAAUAAUAAACUGAAAAUGAAAGCCAAAAUAACACCUUUUUACAACAUUACCCCAAAAAAAAAAAAAAGUACGAAGUUCAAAGAGAGACUGAACGAGCGAAUUUUAUGCUACUGCCUGCAUGCGUUCAGGCAGGAGCCAGUAAAUUUUCACGGCGACGUUUGAAAAAGAGCGAAAUUCCAUCCCGAUCAGGAAGAUUUUCUUCGAUUACAGGGGCUUUUUUGAAAUUUUCAAACCACGCAUGUAGGCCUGGGAAUUUGUGAGAAUCAAAAAGUUUCACUCCCACUAUAUCUUCAAGGAUUUGCAACCAAUAAAGCAUUGAACCAAAUGCUAUAUCAAGUGAACCAAUUUUGUCUCCGUGGAAAAUUUUCUUCUCUCCAAUGCCAUGUUCUUCAAUAGUUUGUAGCAUUUCCAAGAUUUCCUUCAUCCUACUCUCUUCAUCUUGAUUGCUGUGAAACAUUUUCCAAACAGCAACUCCCUGCGAUUAUGUGUGUGUGUGUAUUAUCACUAUGUCAACAAUAUGUAUAACCUAAAAAACUUGGAUUACACGUAAAUAUCUUAUUUGUUAAAAUGCUUAAGUUGAUACUAAAGUUUAACUACUAAGUUACAAUAACAAAGAGAAAAUGAACAAAACGUCAAAACUCCACUAUAUUAUUUUAAUAAACGAAAUUGUUAGUUUUCUUUCUAUUGAAGUCAAUAUAUAUCACUUAUCUCAACACUGUUUUCAUAAUUGUCAAUAUCUUAUAUGACAUAAAAAAAUUUAGAGGAAAAGAGGAGUAAAUGAGUCAUUUAUUAAAAAAAUAUAGGAGAUUGUUUUAAUAAAGGAGAUUGUUAGUUUUCUUUCUAUUAAAGUCAAUAUAUAUCACUUACCUCAACACUNNNNNNNNNNNNNNNNNNNNNNNNNNNNNNNNNNNNNNNNNNNNNNNNNNNNNNNNNNNNNNNNNNNNNNNNNNNNNNNNNNNNNNNNNNNNNNNNNNNNNNNNNNNNNNNNNNNNNNNNNNNNNNNNNNNNNNNNNNNNNNNNNNNNNNNNNNNNNNNNNNNNNNNNNNNNNNNNNNNNNNNNNNNNNNNNNNNNNNNNNNNNNNNNNNNNNNNNNNNNNNNNNNCCGCGAGCGCCGGCGCCUUACUUUAAAUACGAGUAAAAGCGUAUUUAAAAAUAAGAAAAAACUAUAAAAUUAUGGUGACUGGUGGAUUCUUGACUAUUAUGAAAAUAUUAAGGCUUAUGUAGAAUAUAUAUGGAAUUCGGUAGGAAAGAAACUAAUUAUAUCCCUUUUAAUAAAUUAAUCUUUUUCUCCCUCAUAUUUUAAAAGCCAUCACAAUUUUCCUUGUCGCUAAAAAAAUUAUGGUCAUUUUCAACUCUUUGUCCUUUAGUAAAAUACACCAUGGAUUAAUAAAAUUUUCUAAGGGUAACAACACAAAAAUUUAAGAGUUAACUGCACUUAUUGAACAACAAAGAGAUUAAUAUUGAUUGGUUUUAAUACAUACAUAAUAGGAUGAUUAAUUUCGACAAACAGUAGGGACUUUUGAUCAUUUUGGUAUCUGUUGACAAGUAAAUACGUACGAAAGGAAUAAACAUACGUAUACAUAUGUUAGCUAGAGUCGUGAAGCGAACCUUGUCUUCUCCAAAUUUAAUCCAAAAACGAGCAAGAGCUCUAUCAUAAGGAUCGUUUGGCAUCAAGGGGCUCUGUGGCCACAUCUCUUCAAUAUAUUCAAGAAUAACCAUGGAAUCGCAAACUGGUUUUUCGCCAUGAACAAGCACUGGGAUCUUCUUGUGAACUGGAUUAUACUUCAAAAGCAAAGCACUCUUUUCGUUUGAGAAUACAUCUUCUUCAACAAAUUCAAAUGGUACGCCUUUCAAUUUCAGAGCCCAUAUCACUCUGUAAACAAAUGGACUCGGCAGUGUCCCAAGAAGCUUAACUUCAGCCAUGUUUUCGAAGAAUAUAUAGUAUUGAAGUCGAAUGAAUACCAGUGUGCGGUUGUUUGAACGGCUCACUCAUUACAUGUACAUGCGUACAUCUGAAUUUAUAGCGACUAAUCGAGUGUGCUCAUUGCUUGAGCAAAAAGCUUCAAGUUUAAUUUCCACUAAUAAGACAAUUAAAGUUGAAUACGAAUAAGUGACAUCUCGACUCUCCUCACCUUCUAAUUUCGGAGUGAAAAAUAUAAAUAUAAAUGUAAAAAAAUAAUAUAAAUUUAUUUUAAAAGGAUAAAAUAAAAUAUUAACUGUCCUUUGGGUGUAGUUCGAUUGCCCGAGAAUGUACAUUGCUCCCAAUAUCAUUCGAAUUUAAGUUAUAAUAUGAGUAAAUGUUAUUGUUUAACGGGUGAAGUUUUCAUCCUCAUAUAAACCUUAAAAGAAAAAUAUUAGUUGAAUGAUUAUAAAAAUAAGUUAGAUAAUAAGAUAAUAUUUCUAAAGAAUGGAAUAACAAUAAAUUUAGAGAUGAGUUGGAAAAUGGAUCUUUUAAUUGAAUAUUAAACUAGUGAAGAGAAUUAUGAUUUAUUAUUUCCUAUAAAGAAAGAUAAAUUGUACUAGCACUAUAAUCAGCGCAAUUUAAUGAAUAUAAAUUAAUUUAGUGAUAUUUUUCAACUUCUAUUAUAAUUUAGUCAUAACAUUUGUAUAUAAAAUUUUCUUUUCCAAAAUUUUUAGAGGGGCCACUUGAACAAAGAAAAUUAUCAAAUUUUAAUUGACUUUUUUUCUUUUCUUUUUUUUUUAAAGGUAGGGGGUAGGUAAGCCCAAAUAUAAUUUUUAUCCCCUUUACCCCUCAAGAAUUGAACCCCGGUUUUAAUAGAGGCUACAACUGCACUGCAACCAACCCGACCACGCCCUUGGAGGUUAAUGACUUAAUUGACUUAAUUUUAAUAAGUUAAGUCAUUAAAUCCGUUUUUUUUAACUUAAUGAAAAAUUUUAAUCAUUAAAUUAUUAAGUUAUUAACUCAAAUUUUUUUAACUUUUUGCUUAUUUUAAAAAAUCUAAAUGAUGUCAUUAAAAGAUAUUUUUCAAAAUAUCCAUGUAUAAUUAAUUAAUUUUCAUUCUUACCUAAAUAAAGUUUAAUAAUUAACAUUAUUACCCAUUUCUAUAACUUGUGAUAACAUAGUGGUAGACUAUUAUUAUUAUUAUUAUUAUUAUUAUUAUUAUUAUUAUUAUUAUCUUUUUAUUUUCUUCAAAUUAGUAUUAUUUAUCUUCAUUAUUUUUAUGAAUAUUUUUCAUAUAAAAACAUCAUGAGUUAUAAUUAUAUUGAUUAACAUAUAUUAAUUUAGGAUAUUAAGGGUUGUAUUCAAUUGAACAUGAUUUAUAUAAUGAUAAUAUAUUAUUUUACUUAAGUUCUUGAGAUGAUUAUUAUUUAUUUAACAUUAAUAAUUUGUGAGGGCACAAAUAUAAAAAUAUUAUUUUUCAAAUUAUUUAAUUUAAAAAACAAACAAAUUAAUAUCUGUUUUUAGCAAUUCAAACAGAAAACAAAUAUAUGAUUCAAAUUUAGAUAAUUAAUUGUAUUUAGAAUUUAGACUAAUUCAAAAUUAAUCAGUUUUCAGACAUAAACCAAAUGCACCUAAAUGUUAAACUUAUUUUAAAUUAUAAGUAAGACUUUUUUACGGAAAUCAACAGAAACAUUGUUGCUAACUCAUCAUAUUUUCAAAUUUAAAAAAGGGUCAUGUUGUGUGGAAAUCAUAUUUUAUUUUGAGUGUCAAUUUUUGUCAAAAGGGCAAAAGGCUGUUGGCUUGUGAGAUCAUUAAUUAAUUAGAUCAGCUGGUAAGAUAUCUAACCAUUAAUUAAUUAUAUAUGUGGCAUCAGUUUCCUAAUUUAAUACGUCAUGCAUGAUCAAUGUUUUUUAAUUUACAUCAUGCAUGACAAUCAUGGACCAUUUAGUCUAUAUCAGACGUUUUACGUUUUGUGAGGUAAAAAUUUAUUUAGUCCAUAUAUUUUGAGGUUAGUAUUUAUUUAAUUCUUAUAUUUUUAAAAAUACAUUAAAGCAUCUAUGUCAUUAAAUUAUUGAUACCCUUGCCAUUACCUUUUGUUCAUUUUGACUUAUUUUUAUAAUAUUAUUCUAUUACAAUAAUGUUUCUUUUUUUAGACAUUAUUACAAAGAAAAAAAUUAAAUGACCAGUUUAACACCAUAUAUAUAUAUAUAUUAAUUUUUGUGGAAUACUCUCCUGAGGAGUUAAAAUCUUAAUUUUUUAACUUUUUGCUUAUUUUAAAAAAUCUAAAUGAUGUCAUUAAAAGAUAUUUUUCAAAAUAUUCAUGUAUAAUUAAUUAAUUUUCAUUCUUACCUAAAUAAAAUUUAAUAAUUGACAUUAUUACCCAUCUCUAUAACUUGUGAUAACAUAGUGGUACACUAUUAUUAUCAUUAUCAUUUUAUUUUUUUUAAAUUAGUAUUAUUUAUCUUCAUUAUUUUUAUGAAUAUUUUUCAUAUAAAAACAUCACGAGCUAUAAUUAUAUUGAUUAACAUAUAUUAAUUUAGGAUAUAAAGGGUUGUAUUCAAUUGAACAUGAUUUAUAUAAUGAUAAUAUAUUAUUUUACUUAAGUUCUUUGAGAUGAUUAUUAUUUGUUUAACAUUAAUAAUUUGUGAGGGCACAAAUAUAAAAAUAUUAGUUUUCAAAUUAUUUAAUUUAAAAAACAAACAAAUUAAUAUUUGUAUUUAGCAAUUCAAACAUAAAACAAAUAUAUGAUUCAAAUUUAGAUAAUUAAUUGUAUUCAGAAUUUAGACUAAUUCAAAACUAAUCAGUUUUCAGACAUAAACCAAAUGCACCUAAAUGUUAAACUUAUUUUAAAUUAUAAGUAAGACUUUUUUACGGAAAUCAACAGAAACAUUGUUGCUAACUCAUCAUAUUUUCAAAUUUAAAAAGGGGUCAUGUUGUGUGGAAAUCAUAUUUUAUUUUGAGUGUCAAUUUUUGUCAAAAGGGCAAAAGGCUGUUGGCUUGUGAGAUCAUUAAUUAAUUAGAUCAGCUGGUAAGAUAUCUAACCAUUAAUUAAUUAUAUAUGUGGCAUCAGUUUCCUAAUUUAAUACGUCAUGCAUGAUCAAUGUCUUUUAAUUUACAUCAUGCAUGACGAUCAUGGACCAUUUAGUCUAUAUCAGACGUUUUACGUUUUGUGGGGUAAAAAUUUGUUUAGUCCCUAUAUUUUGAGGUUAGUAUCUAUUUAAUUCUUAUAUUUUUAAAAAUACCUUAAAGCAUCUAUGUCAUUAAAUUAUUGACACCCUUGCCAUUACCUUUUGUUCCUUUUGACUUAUUUUUAUAAUAUUACUCUAUUACAAUAAUGUUUCUUUUUUUAGACAUUAUUACAAAGAAAAAAUUAAAUGACCAGUUUAACACCAUAUAUAUAUAUAAAUUUUUGUGGAACACUCUCCUGAGGAGUUAAAAUAUUAAUUUUUUCUAAAAAAAUGACAAUCUAAUUUUUUAUAAUAUUAAUCUUUUUGGACAUACGUGAGCUUUCACAAAAAUUAAUAUAUAUUUUUUUGUUUUUAUUUUCUUUUUGGGUUUAAUUUGAUAAUAUAAUUUUUUUAUUAAUAUCCAAAAAAGAAACAUUACUGUAAGAGUGUAAUAUUAUAAAAGUAAGGUAAAAAGAAUAAAAAAUAAUGGCACGAGUGUCAAUAUCUAACAACAGGGACGUUUUGAGGUGUUUUUAAAAAUAUAAGGACUAAAUGACCACUAACCUCAUAAUAUAGAGACUAAACAAAUUUUUACCCCCUUUUGUGCAUGCAUCAUUAGAAAGUAUAUGUUUAAAUGCCAAAUAUGGAGACAAAUCGUAGUAACUUUUUUUCCCCUUUUUUUAAGGAUUGCAUUACAAUCUACUUAUAUAUAAAAUUUUGAUUAUAUGGGGAGCGUGUAUCAUUAGAAAGUAGAUCUUGAAAAAAAACAUGUUACUUGAAUAGUGCUAAAUAUGGAGACAAAUUAUAGUAAUUAUUUUUUUAAAGGAUUGCAAUCUAGAGAUAUUUAAAAUUUUAAAUUUAUUAGGAGCUUAAAUCUAUGUAUUUUAUAGAAUAAUUUAGAGGUCUACCGUAUAUAAUUUAGAAAUAUACAACAACUAAGAGGUGAGAUCUCUACCCACUUGAAAGGCCUACCAAAUAUAAUUUAAAAAUCUACAUCAACUAAGAGGUGAGACCUCUACCUAGUUGAGAGGUCUACUAAAUAUAAUUUAGAAAUUUACACGAAGAGAUAAAAUAUCUAACCAAUACAAAAGAAUAUAUAUAUAUAUGUAGUACAAUUAAAAGUAUCUUCAAAAGGAUCUAUUAAUUUUACUCUUCAACUAUCUAUUUGUUUACUUAUGUGGUAAAAAGAAGAAUAAAAAAUUAUGUUAUUCUCCAAAAGACUCUUCAAAUAGAAAUAAGUUAAUAUAAUUUUAAUCAAAUAACUAUUUUUUCAAAGGAAAAAAAUGGUAAUUAAAGCACUUCUCUCUCUCUCUCUCUAAAAUAAAAAGUAAUAAAAUAUAAAUUGAAGAGAGAGAAAAUAAUUCUACAAAAUUGAAGAGAAAUAAUCAUUUCUUAUUUGAAGAAUAUUAAAUGGAAUGUCUUUUGGAGUUUUAAAUACUAAUGUGGUUUUUCAAAUAAGUAAUAAAAUCUUAUUUGAAGAGUUUUUUAGAGAUGAUCUAAGAGAUAUAGACACCAAUCGAGAGAUGAGUUCUGUAACUGAUUGAGAGGUCUACCAAAUAUAAUUUAAAAAUCUAUAUUAAUGAGAGGUGAGAUCUCUACCCAAUAAUUAAGAAAACACAUCUAUUUCAAAUCUACACCAAUUAAGAGAUAAAAUCCCUAUUUAAUACAGAUAUAUAUAUUUCUACCCAUAAAUAGAAGAGAGGAAUCUAAAUUGAGGUUUGAAGAGAAGUCUCGAACCAAGCCAGAGCCCGGAAUAGUGACAAAUUAUAAAUUUAUAAUAACCUCACCGGAAGCCUUGGAGGCAUAAUCAAAGGGCAUUAGGAGAAAUUGGAAGAAAAACUGGGCUCAGAGAAAAGGCCUAUGAAUAUUAAAUUCAGGCCACAAGCCCAUAAUGCAGCGGAUGAUUUGAUCCAUUUGAGCUAGUUUAUGUUUAUGCAUUACCUAACAAAUAUUGUCAAGCAACAAAAUGGAAUUUUCAGAGGGAUUCUCUCACUUCUCCGUUCAUUUUCUUAGCAACCAAAUGAACUCAAACUAAAAUAGUAAGGAGAACAUUGAAGGAUUAUCAAUCCUUCGUAUAGGUAAGUAACAUUACUUGGAAUUAAAAAAAAUGUGGGAUAAUAUUGGUAAAAUAUAGUACUAUAUAUAUUCUCAUCAUAAGGGUUACUUUUAGAUUACUCUUCUCAUGAAUCUUUAAAUCACCCUUUAUUUUUCAAAAAUCUCAUUUUAUUUUCCAUUUUUCAUAAGAAAAUAAAAAGUUUCAUCAACCCACCUCUAUUUUUUUAAAAUAGUCAAUUCACGAGGGAAUAAUCAAAAUUUACCCUUCACAUAAAGUCAUAAUUUUAACUUUCACAUUAGUCCAAAGAAGUUAAAAAUCCAAGAGGAAGUGGAGUCUGCGUGUUCUUUAAGGACAUGUUUGGCAUUGCUAGCAAUGCAAUGCAAUCCCAUGUUUGGUGCACUAAGUGGCUACAUUAGGUAAUUUACCUAAUGCCAUGGUCGCCCCCUCAGUUUCUUUUUUCUU